rnacentral:lncRNA from 1 species
UUUUUUUUUUUUUUUGUUGGAAAUGGAGUUUUCUUUCUUUCUUUUCUUGCUCAUGAAGGUCAGCCAAGAGAGGGGAGAAGAUGAUAGGAAUUUUGGUCAAUUUUUGGUUAAUAAAAGGUUAAGAAAGGUCUUAGUCAAAGUCAAUGGCCCAAGGCUUUUGUGACAAUUGGUUUGCCAUGGUUAAUCCUCAUCCUAUUGUCUUCCAAUCACUAAAAUAUCUAGCCAACCUCUAAUUAUCCCAUAAUACCUUAUAAAAUGAUAUCCCUUUGCACAAAACUCCUCCUAAUUUUUAAAAAUUUAUCGUACAUACCACGUUAGUGGGUCCUACUACCAUAAUGCACUACGAAUUUAAUAUGCACUAACUUAUACCUGGAAAAUGAUUUAAAACUUGACUCACUUAUAAAAAUAUAUAAGAAAUUAAGGAAAUUAAGUAAAGUAAAGAAAAUGUACUCAAAGAAAUAAGAUAAAAUAAAAUAAUUUUUGGGUCCUCACACUCUCUCUCCCUUAAAAGAAUUUCGUCCUCGAAAUUCAUACCUUAGCUCAAAAACUCUAGAUAUCACUUUUGCAUCCCGCUCUUAAGAAUUGUAAAACCUAUUCCACACUAGAUAUCACAUAAGUCGUGCAUCCUUAAUCUUUUCACGCGUUUUCACAAAUUCAAUUACCUCAUUAAUAAGCCAAUCAUAAGUAAUAAAGAUCAGCUCAAGAAAUUUAGAACUCUACAUAUUCCAAUCCAAGAAUAAAUCAUGUAAUCCUUAGCUCAAUAUCUCAAUGGUCCCUAAGUACUCUGAUGAACUUUAAUGUCUUGUAUAUCAAAUUCUAUAAGAUCAUAUCAAUGCGGUAAUUUUGUCAUACUAGGUCUUAACCCUAUUAAUCUUUCAAAACAGUUAGAAAGAAACCUCAAGUAAUCAAUAACUUUAAAAAAAUCACAUCCAAUUCCAUACAAAUGUAUACAAAUAUCAAAACACUAAAGGAUAAACCUUAAACUCAAUAUUAUCUAAUCAUAAUCUCCUAGUCACUUUCUUCGAUAAAUUCAAACCUUACAUCAGAAAUAAUAAGGCUCUUGGGUUCAUUCCUCUCCACAAAGAGAAAAUAUAGCUUUAUAACAAAAAUCAAAAUGUUUGAAAUUUUUAAGAGAAGGAUAUAAAAUUUUCAGAAUAACGCUCGUAAGAGUAAAUUCUUAAAUUCUUGGUUGUUUGCAAAAAGACUCUCUUAGUUAACUAUAAAAUGGAAAGGUAAGAUGGGGAAGACAUAAAAUACUUGGUUAAAACCUUUUCUUUUAUAAAAGAUACGAUCUUAAUAACUCAAAUUUCAUGAAAAUAUCAUACAAGAGAAUUAUGCAAAUAACUUAAACAAGAAAAACAAGAUUGAAAUUCUAAAUUACUUUUACAAGCACAUUUAUAGCAAAUUUAAAUUACAGCAUCCAAAGGCGUAGAAAGGCAAAGAAAUAUAUUAUCGAAUUGAAAAUUUUUGAAUUCAUCAUCAUUUUUUUUUUUGUCAAACUUCACACGUAGCAAAUAAAACUAGGAUAGGAGGUUUUUACACAUGAAGUACUGAGUUUUUUUUUCUAAAGUCAGGUAUAACAGGUUCCAUUGUCAAAAGAUAGAUUAAAUUUCUUCCCAUAAACUAUCUAGCUUAUAUCUAAGACUCGAAGAACCAAUUUAUAUUCCCUUUACUCAUGGAUCAUUGAACCUUAACUACUAAUCAUGGGACAAAAGUCUUUCACCAACAUAUAAGUGAAAGUUUACAACUCUUCAACCCGGAUUAUCUUCAUACACAUACCAUUAUGUUCAAGCAUAAAUAGAGUACUGAGUCAUCAUUGCUAACAUUCAUUCGUCCCAUGGACUAAAGUGAAUCAUCAAGUUACUUCGCACCCCAAACAAUGACUAACUCACAUCAUGAUCAGACACCAAUGUAUUCAACAUAUAUCUUUAAACUGUGCUCCUAUACUAUCUAUAUCCUCAAUGCCAUUCUCUGGUUUCCAUUUCUCACACAAGUCUAAGGCAAUAUAGGUAUAAAAGGGCAAGGAUCACGUAAUCAUAGAUGCAAUACUAGUCAAUCAUAAUCCAAAGUACAAUUAUUAGAUUUCACAAGAUUGAUGCAUAUGAUCACAACAGGUACAAGUAAACAUAUAAAAGUUAAAAUAUAUUAAGCAAAUCUGCAGUGCUAGCAUAUUAUAUAUUCAAGACACGCAUCAAAUUUCGAAUCUAACCCCUUGUUAUCGAAGUACAACCAGGUAUUGCUUAGACUAAUUCAUAUCAACACUCGUAACCCAAUCUCCUCAAUCGGUCUAGCCUCAAGUCUAACCUUAGGAUCCUUCGUGUCUUAACCUUCACCACUAAAUUUUAUCCUCUCAAUUCUAUUCCUCAUUAUCUUGCCAUUUGGGUGAGGCAAGUAUUGAUCUCUUGUAACUACUCACGAAUAGCGUUAAUAGCGUUAAUCUACUCUUACUCCUUAACCACACCAAUUUCAAGCUCUCGAAUUUUGUCAUUUUACAUCCUCAAAAUAUUCUUUUAGUUCAUAUACUUGGUAACCUAUGCCUCGUAUUUACAAUAGUUAGCAUCACACCAUCAAGAUAAAGAAUUUAUCAUCUCACAAUCACACCAAUUUCUUCCAUUCCUAUAAUUCCAAUCAUAGUUCAAGUCUUAUUUACUAAUCAUCCUUUCACUUAAUAUUUCAAUUACAUGUCACAUUAACCCCACAGUCCGCCAUCUUAAACAUCUAGUUUAGGAUACACAAUAGUGAUCUAAAACUUAAAACUCUGAUACUACCAAUGAUAGCUUCACCUCUCCCUAAGGCGAACCCAAGGGUUUGGUGGAGCGCCUGCCCAACUCUCGCCAAGACUCAUGCACUCAGUCGAACCAAGUCACAAUUUUCAAGCCAAACAAUUUUUUAAAACUAAGAAAGUACUUGAAUAACAACAGCCACAAUCCUUAGGCAAUAACGUUAACUAUUACAAUCAUAAUAUUUCAAAUACAAAUGAAAUCUACACUUCCAAAUGUCCAAAAGUCGCUCAGGGAAUCACACUAACUCUAGACAAAAGUUGGCUAGUCUAGAGCCUCCAAUUCUUCACUUCAAAUUUCUGUUAAGGAAUAACAACUUAAAGGGAUGAGUCGAUGCUUAGUAAGGCCAAGAUAUCAAGCAAGCAAGUAGAACAAAUACCGUAAUUCAAUUUAAGUAGCACAUAUAUAGAAUAACAACAAUGGUUUCACGUAAAGCCACAAAAGGACUAAAAUACGUUCAUUAAGAGGAUACAGGAGCUCUCAAGAGCCAAUUUACCCAUUUCAGUAGUUUGAUCCAAACCCGUUGACACUCUGUCAACGUUUAAAGAAGUAAAACAAUGACCGUAGAUCUCCACCUUACACCAAUUUUUCGUCCACUAAACAUAUCCCUUAACGGGCCCAAACACCAAAUAGAAACAGUGGUGGUAAUACACGAGUAUACCUAAACAAGAACAAGUAUGGUCAAUGAGAUAAUAAUCCAAUUGACUUAAUUAUGAUAAAAGUAUUGAGACGGGAUGAGAGGCACCUCCCACUCGGAUUGAAUGUGGUACAUGCUACCGCUUAGCACUAGGAUUGACGAGAUAACUCUCCAAUCGAUUUAAUCAGGACAAAAGUACGGAGACGGGAUUAGAGGCACCUCCCACUUGAGUGUGGUACAUACUGCCGCUCAGCACUUACAAGUCGAGCACAAGCACAACCAUAAGUACAGGUCAAUCAAGUUCAAACAAGUACAAGAUCAUUCAAGAGGGGGAGAACGAGUGUGAUAAAGUACACUCUCGUCUCAUCAAGUUCAGAAUUUAACACAUAACACGUGGUAUCAGUCAAAUCAAGAUAUCAAGAAACAUGCACUUAACAGUCACCAGUUUAAGUAAAAUAACGUCAAAAGUUCGCCCCUCGAGUUAUGCCCUUGAUCACUAACAAACCUUAAGAACAACUAAGACAAAGUAUUAUAGUUCAACCAUUUGAAGCUUAGGUAAACCAAAGAAAAUUCAAGUAACUACUAGUGCAAGGAUUCAAAUAUGGUUUUGGAGUGAAAAGAGAACAUAUAGACUCAAGGGACAUGAGUAACCAAGAAUUUCCUCAUUCCAAUCAUAAAACCAAGUCUAAAAUGAAUGAAAGUAAGGACAGUUUUAGGAAAACAGAAUUUUUCUAGUUUUGUGCGACACUAUUUGAAAAAUCAUAUCUCAAGUUUCUUAAGUCCAAAAUUUAUAAACUUUAUACUAUUGGAAAAUAGAUUCAAAGGGUCACAAUUUCUCAGAAGACACCUUUGCAAGAUUUUGUCCACAAGUCAGUCAAAAUCCAAUCUCAAACGGCUGCUUUAUCCAGUAGAAUGACAGAACAGGAAUGGAAAUUCAGUCAAUUUUAAAAAAUCACAGAUAUUCAUAAAAAUUAAAAAAAAAUUCUGAAAUUUUCACGGUAGAAAGUACUCUGAAUUUAUUUUCAAACGCAACAAGCAGAACUCAAUUUGGAUUUUUCUACACUAGGAUAUGACAGAUUUCCCAAGACUAUUUACAGUCUCCUGCGUGAAAAAUUUUAGCAGCACUUCCCCUUAUUUUCCCUAAUUUCCAGCCAUUUUCAAGGCUUCAUUCUCACCACAAAACAGCUUCAAAUCAAGCAUAUACAUACCAAGCCAACAAGUCACUAAAUCAAGCAUAUACAUAAUGUAUAACCAUCACCUACUCAAGCUAGAAAAAUUAAACCCUAUGCUGAAAUUCAUAAUCACAAGUUGGAAAUUUCUAUUAUAAAGCCAAACAAGCAUUGGAAAGCUGGAAAAUCAUAUGCUAAUGCUAAUAAAUCAUAACACAACUGAAAUGAACUCAUCAAAGUUGGAAAUCCUCAAUCAAAUCUGGAAAUUUUGAUCCACCGCAUGAACCAUUAAAUUUUCCAUGAAUACCACCCUAAUUUAACCCUUAAAUCCACUCAAAAGCAAGUUAAAUGACAAGAGAUGGUUUCUAGACUUUGUUACCUUGAAACUCAAAGAAGACCAAGCAGCCACAAGCUUCUUUCUCCAAAAACUCUCCAUCAAAGUUCUUCCUCCUACCUCAAAUUCAACUUUUAUGGAUUGAUUUGCAAGGUUAAGGUGAAAACUCAAGGAUCAAGCAAGGAUUUUUUUUUUUGUGUUGGAAAUGGAGUUUUCUUUUUCUUUUCUUGCUCAUGAAGGUCAGCCAAGAGAGGGGAGAAGAUGAUAGGAUUUUUGGUCAAUUUUUGGUUAACAAAAGGCUAAGAAAGGUCUUAGUCAAAGUCAAUGGCCCAAGGCUUUGGUGACAAAUGGUUUGCCAUGGUUAAUCCUGAUUCUAUUAUUUUCCAAUCACUAAAAUAUCUAGCCAACCCCUAAUUAUCUCAUAAUACCUUAUAAAAUAAUAUCCCUUUGCACAAAACUCCUCCUAAUCUUUAAAAAUUUAUCGCACAUACCACGUUAGCGGGUCCUACUACCAUAAUGCACUAAGAAUUUAACAUGCACUAACUUAUACCUGGAAAAUGAUUUAAAACUUGACUCAAUUAUAAAAAUAUAUGAGAAAUUAAGGAAAUUAAGUAAAGUAAAGAAAAUGUAUUCAAAGAAAUAAGAUAAAAUAAAAUAAUUUUUGGGUCCUCACACGUUCGCAAUUCUUCAAGUUUGGUGAAGAUAGCGGAUUGAGGCCUUGAUUUGAGAGGGUUGGAGGGAUUUUUUGUGAGAACUCGGAAAUUUAUGUGUACACUUUGAAUUUAUCCCAUUACAUUUAAUUUGUUAUUAGAAACAUUAUAUAUAAUAAAUGAUUAAAUUAAAUGUAUAAUUGGAUUCCUAUAAAAUUGAAAUUUUAGAAAAAUAUAUAUAUAUUACGGACUAUUAGCAAGCAAAUAGGAUUUCGAAUAAACCAUCAUGCAGCCAGCAAGCAAGUCAUCGGAUUUCUAAAUAAGAACCGAAUGGAGGAAAUUUCAGGAGAGUUGGUCACUGAGUGGAGAACUUUGAAGUCUGUGGCACCGAAUGAAGAAUUGACCACUGAGUAACAUUUCUUUCUUCUAACUCUAAAGUUUUCUAAACAGAGGGAUAAGUGAGUAAAGAGAGGAGAAACACAUAGAACCUGAUUUACUAGUCGGGACGGUGACUAACAGCUGCUAAGUCAGCUGCCAAAGAGAAUUAGCCGCCAACAUUUGCUAAGUCCAAGCGGCAACCGAGAGAAAACUAGAGAAACUAUUUGUUAAAAUGUUUGGCCGGUGGCCGAGUGGAGAAGCAAGUUUCAAUUCUUUUCUGUCCAACCUAACAACCGAGAGGAAACAAGGAAAACCAUCUGCUGAUACACUUGGACAAUACUGAGAGUGUGAGUGGGAGAGAAAUUUGGCUAGCUUCAUCACCAGCUAACCAUAAUCAAGAACGAGUAACGCAAGGAGAACGGGAGAAGUUGGUGCAAACUUGAGGAACCGAAGCAGAAAUAGUGCAGGCUGGAACUACCGAAUUCUAAGGAAAAGAGGUAAGAUUUUGUAACAACCACUCACUUAUUUAGUAUAACUGAAUGUAUAUAGAAGCAGAAUGUGAAUUUAGCUAGGAAAAAUGAGUUCUUGGCUGAGGGAAAAUUCUGUGCAGCAACCGAAAGCUAUUGGAAAGGAAAACUGCAGAAAUCGAGAGUGAAGAUUGGAAAUUGCAGCUUACUAUCAAUAUUUCUUUGGAGAAUAAUGUCAAGAAAUGCAUGCAAUAUAUAUUUAUCUUAAGUUUAUAAGAGGUUUAGCGGGAAAACUUGUGAAAAGUUGGAAGUUUGAGCUGGAAAUGUUGAAGGAAAGCUGCUGGAAAUGUUCCAGCUUUAGCCAUUAGAGGGAAAUAGUUUUUUUUUUCUUUGAUUCCUUGGCUGAAAACAUAAUAUUCCAGCUUAAAAUACUUUGUGGUAUGUUAGUUGCUCUCUGCAUGUUAAGUUUGGAGCGAGGAAAAUGAAGAAAAGUGAGGAAACAGUUUCAUGCUCGAACUACCGAAUUGUUGAACUUACUUGUAGCUGAUGACAGAAUUAGUUGUGGUUACUAGUGAAAUUGUCGCUGAAAUUGUAUGUUAAUUGCUUUAGUUUAGGUUGGACAGAGUAUAAGCUGAGUGUUUACUGUUUUAAGCAAGUAAAAGGGGAACUUUGUUAAGAAAAUCUGAAGUAAUAUUGCUGGAAAUUUAGCCUUGUUGGCUGAGAGAGUUGGGAGUUGAAACUUGGAAGAAAACUAGACAAUUUGGUGAAUUUCAGUUCUGCCCUGUUUUUGGAAUCAACUUGGGCUGCGAAUUUCUCCAUAAUCUAGAUUGAAUCAGCUUUUGGAUAAAACAUGAAAGUUAUAGGGAUUUGAGUUAACUUUCUACCUGCAAACUUUCAGAUUAAUUGGAUCAUUUCAGCUUACGAGUUGGCCAGAGCACUCCUGACUGCGCAAAAACUCUAAUUUUCCUGACCUGUUUUUCAUGUGCUUUUGACCGUCCAUUUUUUACCCUAAAAAUGUAAGAACUAGGUGUCGAUGUCUUCAUAAGAAAUGUAUGUCUGUGUCUUAACUUCGAAAAGCUAUAAAAUUCGCCUCAAUCCGAUGAGCGUAGCUCCAGUUAUAGUCAAAACUCUAGAGGAUGGCAAAGCUGCCAUCUUCAUUGUUCCUCAUUGCUUUCUUUUAUUUCCCGAGUGCAUUUUGCUAUAAUGCUAGCCGUGAGGAAACCUAUUUUUGAACAGCAUUUCAUCUAAUUUCCAACCCUGUAAGCUUUCAUAAAUGAUAGCUAAGGUUGCUAUGAGAUUUAACGACUAUAUCUUGUUCCACGAGUAGAGUUAAAUUAAAACAAAUGAGAGGAAACUCAUGAUAGUUAUAUACCUAAAUUGGCUUCUAAUCACUUAAUCUUUAUAAAUAUGUUAAAAACUAUAAAAUUUGAGGGAGGAGUGUAAUGGAACAAAAUGCAAUUUACAAAUAACUUAGAGUUUAGUUGAUUUAAAAGGGAACAAAUGGAGUAUCUAUAUGUCAUAAUUAAUGAAUAUUGGAUUGAGAAAGAUAUAUUCCUGGUUCAAAUAUUAUAUAAAGAUAUAAACUUGGGAAAUAUGUAUAAUUCUUGGUUUGAAAUAAUAAAGUGAAUAAAUUUUGAAAUAAAAUGUAAAAUAAAUAUGAAAUAUGUUAUACCUUGUUUUAUAAGCCAAACUUGACUUUAGUAGUUUAAAUCAUAAAGUAACAAGUGAUAAGUGAUAAUAUAUAAAUUUUUUAUUCAUUCUAGAAUAUAAACUUGAAAAAUACGUACAUUUCUUGGUAUAAAAUGAUAAAAUCAAUAAGUCUCGAAAUGAAAUAUGGAAUAACUACUGAAUAUAUUUUAUACUUAAAGUCAAACUUGAUUUUAAUAACUUAAAUAAUAGGAUAACAAAUAAUAGCUGAAUAUCUACAAAUUAUAUAUUUACUUCGAAAUUAUGAACUUGUCUCGGGAAGUAGCUGUGAGCCAGGAAAUAGACCUGAGGCUCGAGAGUAAAUUAUUUGAAUAAUUGGGUGAGUGUUUUCCGAAUUUAUGUGUUUAAUUGUUUAUGUGUACGUAAAUGCAAUUAUGUGACAAAUGUACUUAUUAUGAAUUAUUACUAAAUGAUUCAUUGUGAAGUGUAUCUCAACUGUCUCUCACCUUCUAAGUCGAGGGUGUACUUCAUCGCACUCGACUUAGUUGAGUUUGAAGGUCGAUAAUUGACUGAAUGUUACUGUAAGUGCGCAUGAAUGUAAGCCAUAUGUGUGCCUCGCCGCAUCGGCUGAACUGGGCCCCAAAACCCUCUGUUCAACGGACUAUUCGAGGCAGCAAAGGGCUUGGUCGGGUAGGACGGUAGCUUUGGAUAAAUGUUUCGGUAUACUCGAGUAUUACCAUGAGGUUGGGAGAUUAUUGAACUGAUUAUUGAAUGUAGGGGAUUGUUUAUUGUUUUGGAGAACAUAAGAAGGUGAAUUGGCAGAAUGUACAAUGAUAUUGAAAUGAAUGUACAAUGACAGUGAAAUGAGUGUCUCUUGACACUGAAAUGAAUGCUCAAUGACAUUGAAGUGGCUCAAAUGCGAGCACCGUAUCUUUUUAAAAAUGAUUGUUUAGUGAAGUGUUUCCUCAAUUGUUUAAUGAAAGUGAUUGUACAAUGAAAUGUGCACUACUUGGUUAAUUAUACUGAUUUAAGUGUUUAUUAAAUGUUACUUGCUUGGCAAACCUCACAGAGCUUUAGCUCAGCCCUUUAGCUUUGUUUUCUUUACAGGAGUUGGAGAUUGAAGAGUGAUUGAAUUGAAUUAGAAAGUUAUUUUGGGAAGAUCCAUCACUGUGGGUAUAUAUUGUAGUCAUGGUUCCCUUUGUAUUUUGAGACGGUUGAAUCUUUUGUUUUGAGUUGGUGUAAUAUUAAGAAUAGAUGUUUAGAACAUGUAUUUUGUUUCUUUUAUCGGACAAAUUUAUGUUUUAAGCUGAUUGGAGUUGUACUUAAGGGUGAAUGUUUAGUUGUUCAAUGGUAAUGUAUCUCUGAAGUUAAUGUUAGUGAAUGAGUCCUGACGAGAGCUAGGCGGGCGGUCCACUAAUUUCUAGGGUAUGCCCUAGGUGGGACUGGGCCGUCACAGGUGGUAUCAGAGCUCUUAAUGAGCUCACGCUGGGAGAGGGUUCUCGAAUUUUGGGGAAUGACCUAUUAAGUGUUGAACUAAUUACUAUUGCUAAGGGAAUUAGAUAUGUAUGUUGGGUAGGAAUCUCAAAUAUAGGUGAUUUACACUUGGGACUGGCCAGCCUGAGUUGUGAAUUAUCCUUUUGCCAGAUUCUUGUACCCAAGUACCAGAUAUUUCAUUCAAUGGUGUAUUUGCAAAUUGGGAAGAAUUUAGUAUGUUGUAUUAUGAUGUGACUGGGAAUCAUGACUAAAUUUUGAAAAGUAGAACCGAAAGGACCAAGUCUAGCUUUUGAAAGUUAAAAGUGAAGAACCAGUAGUGAGAUCUUGUGUGACGCCCCGAAAACUAGGAGUAUGAGAAACCGAAAAUUUUUAUAUAUUUUCUCGACAUUAUUUUGUUUUCUUGUCUCUAAGUUUGUUUUCUUCAAUAUAUUAAUUUUUUUAUACAUUUCUAUAAGGAAAUAUAGUUUCCAAAUCAUUUUCUUGAUCCAAGUUAGUCCACGUUAAUUUUGAAGUGCGUUUUGAACGUGAGACCCGCAAGUGUGGUAAAUGCAUUAUAUUUUUGACAACUUGUUAGAAUUUUGUAUUAAGUGAUAUUAUUUUACAAGGUGUUAAGAUAUUUGUAUUGGAGAGACAAAAAGAUAAGUUUUAAACCUAAAGGUGACAAAUGUCACCAUCUAAUUUACUCUUGACUUUGACCAUUUGACUUUACCUUUACCUUUACCAAAUAAAUAUCAAAAAAUUGACCAAAAUAAGCUCUUAUUUCAAGCUCUCUUGGCCGGCUUUCUUGCUCAAAGAAAGGAAGAAAACUCUCCACAAUUUUGGUCUCCAAUCUUGCUCAAUCUCUCAAAUCAACCGUUUAAUCUUGCAUUUGUUCCAUAAAACUUCUUCUAUUAGUGUUUGUGAGUUGUUUGGUGGAGUUAUUUGGAAGGUUAAGGUGCCUAGUUGUUCUCUCUCUUCUAUUGCUAAGGUGAGUUGUGAGGAACCACUCUCCUUCCUUAAUUGAUGCUUAAAUCAUGAUUAGUGGUGGUAUAAGGUGCAACUUUAUGGAUUAUAUUAUGAUUUUUGGUUGAGUUGGUGAAGUUUUAUAAUUAUUGGGGAUUUUUCUGUUUUAAUAUGAACAUGAUUGUGUGUCUAUAUAUGAUUAUUGGAAAUGAUGUUUAAGGACUCUAUGAGCUGGAAAAAGUGGUUAAUUGCAAACAAUUUCUGUUUUGGAAGAAAUCUUGGAAAGUUAGGGUUUGAUGUUCUUCAUUCUGCCCGAAUUUUUAGCUCAUAGAUAGAGGCCGAAUUGGCCUGGCUUAAAACAUGAAAGUUGUAGGGAAUAACAUUUUAAAGGUGUCUACAAAAUUUCAGGUCAAUCGGAGUAGUGUGGAAUGAGAAAAGUCGAAAUUACUAUUGCUGUUCUGGUUUUACCCGAAUGUAAGAAUUGCGCCUGUAAUUGGUUGUUUUGGCUGGAAUUGCUUCCGAAUUGGUUGUUGAGGCCUUCUAAUGAAAUUUAUCCCUGUUUCUUAGCUUUCAGCUGGUUUUAGAAUUUCUAGAUUUGGACUUGGAUAACCUAAUUUAUGAUGUUUCCGCUAGAAUACGUUCUGUGAAUCUGUUUUUUCGGUUCUGGUGUAGUUUCUUGCAUUUUUGACCUGGUUACACUCGAAACUGGGUUGAGUGAUCUUCUGCAAUAUUGUAGCCCUGUCUCUUAGCUUCGAAACGGUGGUCUUGCACCUUCAUCCGACAAUCGUAACGCCUUUGGUACCAUUACCGUAAAAUGACGUCAAAACUGUUUUAUGGUUUUGAGCUUAACUUUCAUUUCCGAACUUUUCCCUAGCUUGAAUUGUACUCGUAUUACUUGGAGCUUGCUGAAUGGCUAUUGGAUGAACUUGUUGUUGUGUGUGUACCUUUGGGACUGGCUGAAGAUAUAAUGAAGCCAUGAUGGCUGGGAAAGUAAGCAAAUUUAGGGGAAGUGCUGUCCGAAGUUUUAAAGGGUUUGAUUGCUUUGAGUUUGUGAUCUAAGACUUGGAUUUGAGCAAGGCAAUGAUAUAUGAUGGAUGGUUUCUGAGCCAUGGAGGUGAGUGACCUCAAACUAUUUCUGAAGUUAUUUAUGAACCGUUUCCUGCAUUAUUUACUUUUGAACUGUUUCCAAAGUUACUUUUGUACCGUUUUCUUGCAUUAUUUACCUUUAAACAGUUUUCAAAGUUACUUUUGAACUGUUUUCUUGCAUAUCAUGCGUGCUUGCAUAUGAGUGUUCCUUAUUUGCUAUAUUUUCUUUACUUCAUGACUUGUAUUAUUGAUUGAUAACGUGUUAAGUGUUUUGAAUGAUUUCCAAAACGAGCUUUCUAGGCGAGUGUGUACUUUAUCGCACUCGACCUAAAUAACUGUGCAAUUUUCAAGGAUUUAAUUAUUGAAAUGCUAGUUGUGCAUGAUGUAAGCCUUUUGGGCUGAACUGGCCAUUGCCCUUUGUUACCGGUCGUCUCGAGCCAGAAACGGUCUCGGUCGGGCGAUUAGGGACUUGGGUGAACGUUUGGUAUACUCGAGUAUUACCUUUGUAGGUUGGUGGAGGUUGGUGGAGUCUGGUGAAUGAAAUGAAUGACCAAAUGAACGAGGCAUUUAUUUAUAAAAGAAACGAAAAUGCAUUUUUCAAAAGUUUGAAGGAAGGAGGAAAUGUCAGGAGAACGAACGUAUCUUUUUCAUGAAUGUUACUAUCGCUUUCCAUUGUAAAUGUUUCUUGAAUUAUUGAUACUCCAUAUUUACUGUUUUGCAAAUGUUGUAGUUGUUUCUAGACUUAUCAUUUGAUUUAUGACAUCAUUGAUAUAUGACAUCAUUGAAAUGAACUAUUGUGAAACCGAUUUGAUUACUGAUUUUUCUGGUUACUCGUUGAGCUUUUAGCUCACCCCAAAACUAUUUUAUUCCCCUCCACAGGGCUCAUGGCGAAGGAAGGCUUGUUGUGAUUUUAUUGUUAUGGAAUUCCUCUUGUAUAAGAAUUGGGAUCAUGGAUCAGAGUGGCGCAGUGGAAGCGUGGACGCUUCGCUUUUGAUAUGAAAAUGUUGGAACAUUUGAGUUAUAUUUGAGAUUUAUCUUUUAUUUAUUUGAGGACUGUAGUGAACGACUGAGUCCCGGCGAGAGCUGGGCAGGCGGUCCGCCGAACCCUGGGGUACGCCCUAGGGGGAGGUGGGGCCGUCACAUCUUGAAUAAUUUUACUAGUCGUUCAAUGGUAAAUGGAUUAUAUGCCAUCUCUUACCCAAAAAUGUGGGUUUAGACCUAGAAUUUGAAUGAAAUAGCAGUUUAAGUAAGAACUAUGUAGUUGUGAAUAGCUCUAUGUGACAGCCCCACCUUCCCCUAAGGCGAACCAAAGGGGUUAGCGGAUUGCCUGCCCAACUCUUGCCAGGACUAACGGUGCAGUUUAGAGCGAUCUAUUGCGUUCCGGAACUUACAAACGCGCGUAAACAAGUCAAAAUGUCAAAAUAAAAAAAACAAAAAAAAAAGAAAUCCGGAGUCGGUCAUGAGUAGUAACCGACCUGUCAGAACCCAACCAAAUAUCAAGCGAACAUUCACAUCUUGAACUUUAGUAUUUUACAAUCCAAAGUGGCAUACAAAAGUAUUCAAAAGUGGAUACAUGUAUGGUUUGCCAAAACAAAAGAGAAACGGACCCAAAAGUACAUUUAGGGUUUCAGUAAAUGAGCUAUACAAAAGGUAUAUCCAACUAGCUCAAUUCGGCAACCAAAUAUCAAUUGCAGUCCAAAAGUAUUUAUUUUCCUGUAAGGAAAACAAAAGGAAUAGAGUGAGUUAAUUGCCCAGUGAGAUAAUACUACUCAAGCAACCAAGUUCAUAGAUGCAUUAAGCUUUUCAGUCCAAUUCAUCAAAAGUAAAUAAAGACACACAUCAAUAAUGAUGAUAAAAGGAUACGAGCGGCUCUCAAGAGCCCUUUUCCUCAUUUGCAUUCUUGAUCGAAUCUCAUUGACUCUCCGUCAAUGUUUAAAAGUAACCAACCGUAGACUUCAUUUUACUUCCAUUCCUUCCACCUAACAUUCCCCUACCGGACCCGAACUCCAAACACUUGCACUGUAGUAUUACUCGAGUAUACCGGAAUCGAGAGUCUCUCAUAUUACAAGAUUCCAUAACAGGCCCCAAGGUUCAUUAAUUGGCACGACCAAGCCCUUGCCGGCUCGAUUCAAUCAACUACCAAUGGGGUUGAGCUCAAUGGUAACAAUCAUGGUCGUUGGAUACUCGUCCAAACGACACCAAGUCAAGUACUUUCAUUUCAUGUAACAUUCCAAUAACAUGAUAAGCAAUAAGUGAGAGUGAUAAAGUACGCUCUCACUUCAAUCAUUUAACAUUCAACGCAUCAAGUUCAAGUAUCAAAGUCAUAUAGUAACACACAAGUGAGUAGUACACUCACCAAGCUUGCAAAUGGUGUUUCAUGCACUUCCGUCAAAAGAACGUCGUGAACCACCGUCACGCCCUAAAACAUGCAAAAAGUACAAUGAGACUCGAUAACGAGUCAUAAACCAAUGCCAAAUACGACCCCAAUAGGGUUCCAUAAGCAUAUACAAGCAUUAGAGGAAACCAGAAAAAUCUGGAAAUGGAAUUAGCUUUACCCCUGAAAAAACAGUUUUUGACCUCAUUUUGCGGUAAUGGCACCGAAGGCACUACGAUUAUCGGAUUAAGGUGCAAGACCCACCGUUUCGAAGCUAAGAGAUAGGGCUACAAUGUUCCAGAAGGCAACUCUGUCCAGUUUCGAGUGUAACAAGGUCAAAAAGGCAAGAUACUACACCAGAACCGGAAAAACAGAUUCACAAAACGCAUUCUAGUGUAAACAUCAUAAAACAAGCUACCUAAGUCCAAAUCCAGUAAUUCUAAAGCCAUCCGAAAGCUUAGAAACAGGGAUACAUUUCAUCAGAAGAUCUCAAUAACCAGUUCUGAAGCAUUCCUAACCAAAAUAACCAAUUACAGACGCAAUUCUCAAAUUCGGGUAAAACCAGGACAGCAAGGGUAAUUUCGACUUUUCUCAAGUUACACUACUCCGAUUGACCUGAAAUUUUGCAGGCAUCUCUAAAAUAUCAUUCCCUACAACUUUCAUGUUUUAAUCCAAGACCAAUUCGGCCUCUAACUAUGAGCUACAAAACCGGGCAGAAUGUAUAACUUUGAAACCCCAGUUUUUCAAUUUUCUUCCAAAACAGAAAUUUCUUGCAAUUAACCACUUUUUCCACCUCCUAGUUUCAUUACAUACCAAUUCCAAUCGUCAUACAUGCCCACAUAAUUAUAUUCAUAUUAAAUCAGAAAAUCACCAAUAAUUAUAAAACUUCACCAAUUCAACCAAAAAUCAAGAUUAAUCCAUAAACUUGCAUCUCAUACUAUUACCAAGCAUGAAUUAAACAUUAUUAGAGGGAGGAAAGGAGUCCUUCACCACUCACCUUGGUAAAACAAGAGAGAGAGCAAUUAACCACCUUAGCUUUCCAAACAACUUCACCAAACAUCUUACAAACACUAAGUGAAGAGGUUUUAUGGAACAAAAGUAAGAUUAAGUGGUUGUUUUGAUGAUUUGGAGCUAGAUGGAAUCAAGAACUUGGAGAGUUUCUUUCUUUCUUCUUGUCAAGAGGGCCGGCUUCAAGGAGUGAAUUUUGGAGUGAUUUUUGGUACCAUUUUGAGUUAUUUUAACCAAAAGGUAAAAGGGUGAAUAGUGUUCAAACUUAAGAAUCAAUCCUAUGGUGACACUUGUCACUUAAUUAAUGCAUCUCUAUCUUUUUGUUUCCUCUCAAACCAAUCCAAAUAGCAACCUCUACUUAUCUCUUAACACCCGAUAAUUUAAACCCAAUAUCUAGAACUUAACCUAGUUGGCCGAAUUUUUUUGAACUUUUUCCACUAGUGGGUCCCACGUCAGGUAUACGCUCUUAAUUUCUCAAAACCUAUUCGAUACUUGAAAAAUCAUCCAAAAACUAUAUCUGCUCAUUAAAAAUAUCUAGAAAAUUUCCUAAUCACGAAAAUGCAGAAAACAAACCAUGAAAGAUACUAAAACCUAGAAAAUGAGAAAAAUUACGGGUUCUCACACUCUCUCCCCCUUAAAAGAAUUUCGCCCUCGAAAUUUCUUACCUUAACUCACGAAAAGUUCAGGGUAUUUCUUUCGUAUUUCUUCUUCCAUCUCCGAGGUAGCUUCCUCUACCCCAUGAUUUCUCCACAGUAUCUUUACCAACGGAAUCUGCUUGUUUCUUAGCUCUUUGACUUUCCGGUCGAGCACUUGGACAGGUUUUUCUCCAUAAGCAAGCGAUUCGUCCACGUCGAUCUCCUCUGGUUGUAAGAUAUGGGAGGGGUCGGGAUAGUACUUCUUGAGCAUCGAGACGUGGAAGACAUCAUGAAUUCGAGAGAGACUGGACGGCAGCUCUAAUUGAUACGCUACCGCUCCUACCCUUUGAAGGGUCUUGUAGGGUCCAACGAACCUCGGUUGCAAUUUCUUUCCUUUACCCGCCGUGACGCUCCGUAACGGUGUAACCUUGAGCAAAACACGAUCUCCAACUUCGAACUCCAAGUCUUUCCUUCGAUUGUCCGCAUAGCUCUUUUGUCGGCUUUGAGCAGUUUGGAGUCGUUGCCAUAUCAACUUGACCUUUUCUCGAGCCUCUUCCAUCCAUGGAAUAGUGGUUGGAUCUAAUGCCUUUCUCUCGCCAACUUCAUCCCAGUAAAUUGGUGACCGGCAUUUUCGUCCAUAUAAUGCUUCAUAUGGAGCCAUUUGAAUCGACGAAUGGUAGCUGUUGUUGUAUGUAAACUCUACUAAGGUCAUGUGUUGACCCCAGUUGCCUCCAAAAUCCAGAAUGCAAGUCCGUAGCAUGUCCUCGAGAGUUUGGAUUGUUCGCUCCGAUUGUCCAUCCGUUUGAGGGUGAUAGGUCGUGCUCAAGUUGAGUUUCGUUCCUAGAGUUUCUUGAAAUUUCUGCCAGAAUCGAGAUACGAAACGUGGAUCUCGAUCAGAGACGAUACUGACUGGAACGCCGUGUAGCCUUACGAUCUCGUCCAUGUACAGUUGGGCCAACUUGUCCAUGGAAUAUUUCAUGUUUACUGCCAGGAAGUGAGCCGAUUUGGUUACCGGUCGACGAUUACCCAAACGGCGUCAUGUCAUCGUUGCGUUUGCGGUAAACUUGAAACGAAAUCUAUGGUGAUGUUUUCCCAUUUCCACUCGGGUAUCUCAAGGGGUUGUAACAAGCCUGAUGGUUUUUGAUGCUCCGCUUUAACCUGUUGGCAAACAAGACAUUUUUGCACAUACAGAGCGAUUUCCUUCUUCAUAUUAUCCCACCAAUAGGUUCCUUUCAGGUUUUGAUACAUCUUGCUACUACCCCGAUGAAUUGUAUACUUGGAUCGAUGGGUUUCCUCUAGAAUCUCCAUUUUCAACGCUUCAUCCUUCGGCACCACUAUUCGGUUUCGGUAUUUUAAAAUACUCUCAGGACCAAAAUUGAAAUCAGUGGUUUCUCCUUUUCCCACCUUCUCUCCCUAUUUCUGCACUAGUGAAUCUUCCUUUUGAGCUUCUUUAAUUCUCUCCAAGAGAGUGGAAGUCACUUUAAUAUUGCCAAAAAUCAUCUUAUGGCUCCCAAGGCAGAGUUUCCACUCACAAACCGACUCGAGUAAAUUCCACUCUUUAAUCAUUAACCCGGCUACUUGCACCUUGCGACUCAAAGCAUCGGCCACUAUGUUCACCUUUUCUGGAUGGUCGUUGAUGGUACAGUCGUAAUCCUCCAAAAAUUUCAUCUAUCAUCGUUGCCUCAUGUUCAAUUCCUUCUGUGAGAAGAGGUACCUCAGACUUUUGUGAUCGGAGUAAACCUCGAAGGUUACCCCAUAUAGGUAAUGUCUCCACUUUUUAAGAGCGAAAACAACGGCAGUUAGCUCCAGAUCGUGGGUUGGAUAGUUCUGCUCGUGGGGUUUCAACUUCCUAAAGGCAAAAGAGAUCACAUUACGGUUCUACAUUAACACGCAACCCAGGCCUUCUCGUGAGGCAUCAGUAUACACAGCAAAUCCGUCCACUCCAUUUGGCAAGACUAGCACUGGACCUAUGGUCAAUCUUUUCUUUAGUUCGUGAAAACUCAUCUCGCUUCGGGCAUUCCAAAGGAACCGACCAUGUUUCUUUGUCAAGUCGGUUAAGGGACCGGCCAGUUUGGAAAAGUCCUUGGUGAAACGCCUGUAAUAUCCAGCCAGCCCUAUAAAGCUACGGACCUCGGUGGGAUUUUCUGGUCUCUUCCAAUUAGUCACAGCCUCUACUUUAGCCGGGUCAACUGAAAUACCCUCUUGAGAAAUUACAUGUCCCAGAAAAGAAAUUUUCUCUAGCCAAAAUUCGUACUUGCUGAACUUGGCGUAUAGUUGAUGGUCUCUUAGGGUUUGUAAGACAAUCCUCAAGUACUGCUCAUGCUCUUCACGUGUCUUGGAAUAGACUAGAAUGUCGUCAAUGAAGACUACAACAAAUCGAUCCAGGUAGGGCUUAAAAAUCCUAUGCAUUAAAUCCAUGAAAGCGACAGGAGUAUUUGUUAGUCCAAAGGGCAUAACUGCAAACUCGUAAUGCCCAUAUCUCGAGUUGAAAGCGGUUUUCGGAAUAUCCUCCUUCCUGAUUAAUAACUAGUAAUACCUUUGGCGGAGAUCCAGUUUCGAAAAGACCACCGCUCCCUGCAACUGAUCAAACAACUCAUCUAUGUGGGGGAGUGGAUACUUAUUUUUCACCGUAAUAUUAUUCAGGCCCCGAUAAUCGAUACACAUCCUCAACCCACCGUCCUUUUUCUUCACAAACAGCACAGGGGCUCCCUAAGGAGACCCACUCUCUUGAAUGAAUCCCCGCUCCAAAACAUCCUAUAAUUGCAACUUUAGCUCCUUGAGCUCAGCAGGAGCCAUUCGGUAUGGUGUUUUUGAGAUAGGUGAGGAUCCCGGUAGCAGGUCUAUUUUGAAUUCAAUCUCUCUUUCCGGAAGCAGAGCUACUAACUCAUCAUGGAAUACAUCCGGAAAUUUCUUUACUAUGGCCACGUCUUCCACCUUUAACUUAUCCGUGGGGGUAUUAAUCAGAAAGGCUAAAAAUUCUUGCGCCCCUCUACUUAGCAGUUUCCUAGCCCGAAUGCCCGAAAUCAAAGCAGAUGAGGCUAACCGACCUCUUAUAUCCAACCUUAAGGUUGCCUCACCAGGGAUGCAGAAUUCUACCACUUUCGUUUUACAGUCCAGUUGGGCAUUAUACUUGGCUAACCAGUCCACACCCAAAAUUAUAUCAUAUCCUUUGAUGGCCAGACUUAUCAAAUCCCCUAACAAUCUCUUCUCUCCUACCCACAUUUCACAAUCCCUAUAAAUCAUACUAGUCACCAAACGUUGAUUCCCUGUAGGUGUACUAACUUCUAAGUCGUAUGAUAAAUUAGCAGGUUUUAUAUCGAUGCCACACAUGAAAGCAGGGUUGACAAAGGAAUGGGUGGCACCAGGAUCAAUUAAAACUUUAGCAAAGCGGUGGAAAAUAGGGAUCGUACCUUCUACGACCUCCGCAGAAUCUGGGACCUGUUGGGGCUCUAAGGAAUACACUCGAGCUGGCACCUUAGGUUUGGACCAUCUCCCUUAACUGGUCCAGCAUUGGUCUUUGGCACGGUUUGAGCCCCCUUUCCGUCUUGCUUUAAAAGUGGGCAGGUAGCAAGCUGGUGGUCUGCGCUUCCGCAAUGCAGAUAUUUGCCCCCUUUCUUCUAGCAACUAUCUUCGGAGUGAUUCGGCUUUUCGCAGUAUCCACAAGGCCCACGGGAUGCCGAACCGGAACCCUUCUGGAAGUUCCCGCCUUGGCCUCUUCCGGCUGAGCCACCCCUGGACUGAGCCCCUCUGUCAAAACCUGUCUGUCGUCCACCUCCAGCUCCUCGUCCGAACUUGGAGGGAGUACUUUUAUCCCCUUGUCCAGAGUUGCUUCCAGGAAAACCCCGCUUCUUCGCCUGGAAGUUCCGUACUUGGAUCCUGGCACUCUCUACUCGUUGGGCUUUCUCAACGGCCUCGCUAAAAGCGUUAAUCUGGGCCACCGCGAGGUCCUUCUGAAUUUCCACAUUCAGGCCCUGAAUAAAACGCCUGAUCCGCCGUUGUUCCAUCACAAUUAACUCAGGGGCAAACUUAGAUAAGCGCGUGAAUUGGCUUUCAUACUCCGCUACGGAUUGAUCCCCUUGGCAGAGUCGAAUAAACUCAUCUUCCUUCCUCUCCUGAAUUAGAAGAGGAAAAAAUUUCGCGUUAAACUCCCUCAUAAAAUUUACCCAAGUCCUGGGCGUUUGUUCCCGUUCCCAUUUUUGCCGAAUGACAUUCCACCAGGAACGGGCCGCCCCUUCCAGCUGAAAAACGGCAAAAGUCACCUACCGUUCUUCGGUAUAAUGCAGGGCAGCGAAAAUUUCUAUCAUCUUCUCAAGCCACCUUUCGGCGACAUCCGGGUCGGGUCCCCCAACAAACUUCGGUGGUGCAAACUUUUGGAACCGCUCAAGUGCCCUAUCGUCACUUUCAACAUGGUUGCCCGGGUUUCCAGGAUUAGGGUUUGGGUUUUGGCCUUGUUGCUGCACCACUUGUGCUAGCAGGUUGGUCAUUUGCUGCAUAGCAGCAGCGAUUUGCACAUUGGGGUCAAGGUUAGGUCCAGAUGAGGUUUCCCCAGUACCCCUAUCCGGUGUGGGUUGUCUAUUUCCGCGCCCACGUCCCCGUCCACUACGUGUUCCUUCCAUAAAUUUUACUUGGUCUGGGCAAUUGUACUAAACCAAUAUAAAAAAUACAUGUAAGUAAAACCCAAAACUUUUCCAAGCAGAUAUAUACAUUCCAAUCAAGGCAAACAACACACCUAGCAACAAGCAGUCAAGUCAAGUACAAACAUGGAUAAUCCCUAAGGGAAUGGCCUCAUCAAAAGAAAUAUACACGCAGCUAAUCUAGACGUACAAAACGAUUAGCUAAGGCUCUUCCCUAUCCCUAUCCACAAGAAACAAAACUAUCCCAAAAACCUAAGAGUCGAGACCUAGUCCGUCGAUGGGCUAGUAGACCCCCUCGACGGGGUAGAUCCAGUCCCAGCUUCGGCCCCCACACAUGAGUCCUCGUCGCUUACCCCCUCGACCACCUCGGCGCAGAGGUUUAAGAUCGAUGCGGCUCGAAUCUUCACCUUUCGGGCUCUCUUAGACUCGCGCUCACGCGCCUCCCUAAGCUGAGUACAGAGGUCAUCAACCCUAUCCUCGACCUCAAGUACGUCAUACUCUAGCCCCUUAAUAUGCUCGGCCUGUCUCUCAUUGGCCGCCCUAAGCUGGGUCACCUCGGCCUCAAGUCGAGCAUUCUCUCCGGCCAACUCCUUACGCUUCUCGGCCACGGCCAACACUAGAGCGUUAGGGUAAGUAUACUUAUGGCGACACUCACACCGUCUGAGGCGGUUAGCCGGGCUCCAACGAACCACGGCCCCUCCUGGCCGAAUCUGGUAUGGGAUCACUGGAAGCGCUUCACGAGGUCUCUCGCCCGGAGGACUAUCACUAGGCUCACCCUAUCCGGCCAUCCUACACCAAACGAGCAAUUAACCAUAAAUAAGCUUAAAGGCCAUAAACAAAGAACCCUCAAAUCGAGCAUUUCUAUUACACCCAGGCUAAUUCAAACCUAGGCUCUGGUACCACCUGUGACAGCCCCACCUUCCCCUAAGACGAACCAAAGGGGUUAGCGGACUGCCUGCCCAACUCUCGCCAGGACUAACGGUGCAGUUUAGAGCUAUCUAUUGCGUUCCGGAACUUACAAACGCGCAUAAACAAGUCCAAAUGUCAAAAUAAAAAAAUAAAAAAAAAAAUCCGGAGUCGGCCAUGAGUAGUAAUCGACCUGUCAGAACCCAACCAAAUAUCAAGCGAACAUUCACAUCUUGAACUUUAGUAUUUUACAAUCCAAAGUGGAUACAUGUAUGGUUUGCCAAAACAAAAGAGAAACGGACCAAAAGUACAUUUAGGGUUUCAGUAAAUAAGCUAUACAAAAGUUAUGUCCAACUAGCUCAAUUCGGCAACCAAAUAUCAAUUGCAGUCCAAAAGUAUUUAUUUUCCUGUAAGGAAAACAAAAGGAAUAGAGUGAGCUAAUUGCCCAGUGAGAUAAUACUACUCAAGCAACCAAGUUCAUAGAUACAUUAAGCUUUUCAGUCCAAUUCAUCAAAAGUAAAUAAAGACACACAUCAAUAAUGAUGAUAAAAGGAUACGGGCGGCUCUCAAAAGCCCUUUUCCUCGUUUACAUUCUUGAUCGGAUCUCAUUGACUCUCCGUCAAUGUUUAAAAGUAACCAACCGUAGACUUCACUUUACUUCCAUUCCUUCCACCUAACAUUCCCCUACCGGGCCCGAACUCCAAACACUUGCACUGUGGUAUUACUCGAGUAAACCGGAAUCGAGAGUCUCUCAUACUACAAGAUUCCAUAACAGUCCCCAAGGUUCAUUAAUUGGCACGACCAAACCCUUGCCGGCUCGAUUCAAUCAACUACCAAUGGGGUUGAGCUCAAUGGUAACAAUCAUGGUCGUUGGAUACUCGUCCAAAUGACACCAAGUCAAGUACUUUCAUUUCAUGUAACAUUUCAUGUAACAUUCCAAUAACAUGAUAAGCAAUAAGUGAGAGUGAUAAAGUACGCUCUCACUUCAAUCAUUUAACAUUCAACGCAUCAAGUUCAAGUAUCAAAGCCAUAUAGUAACACACAAGUGAGUAGUACACUCACCAAGCUUGCAAAUGGUGUUUCAUGCACUUCCAUCAAAAGAACGUCGUGAACCACCGUCACGCCCUAAAACAUGCAAAAAGUACAAUGAGACUCGAUAACGAGUCAUAAACCAAUGCCAAAUACGACCCCAAUAGGGUUCCAUAAGCAUAUACAAGCAUUAGAGGAAACCAGAAAAAUCCGGAAAUGGAAUUAGCUUUACCCCUGAAAAAACAGUUUUUGACCUCAUUUUGCGGUAAUGGCACCGAAGGUACUACGAUUAUCGGAUUAAGGUGCAAGACCCACCGUUUCGAAGCUAAGAGAUAGGGCUACAAUGUUCCAGAAGGCAACUCUGUCCAGUUUCGAGUGUAACAAGGUCAAAAAGGCAAGAUACUACACCAGAACCGGAAAAACAGAUUCACAAAACGCAUUCUGGUGUAAACAUCAUAAAACAAGCUACCUAAGUCCAAAUCCAGUAAUUCUAAAGCCAUCCAAAAGCUUAGAAACAGGGAUACAUUUCAUCAAAAGAUCUCAAUAACCAGUUCUGAAGCAUUCCUAACCAAAAUAACCAAUUACAGACGCAAUUCUCAAAUUCGGGUAAAACCAGGACAACAAGGGUAAUUUUGACUUUUCUCAAGCUACGCCACUCCGAUUGACCUGAAAUUUUGUAGGAAUCUCUAAAAUAUCAUUCCCUAAAACUUUCAUGUUUUAAUCCAAGACCAAUUCGGCCUCUAACUAUGAGCUACAAUACCGGGCAGAAUGUAUAACUUUGAUACCCUAGUUUUUCAAUUUUCUUCCAAAAUAGAAAUUUCUUGCAAUUAACCACUUUUUCCACCUCCUAGCUUCAUUACAUACCAAUUCCAAUCAUCAUACAUGCUCACAUAAUCAUAUUCAUAUUAAAUCAGAAAAAUCACCAAUAAUUAUAAAACUUCACCAAUUCAACCAAAAAUGAAGAUUAAUCCAUAAACUUGCAUCUCAUACUAUCACCAAGCAUGAAUUAAACAUUAUUAGAGGGAGGAAAGGAGUCCUUCACCACUCACCUUGGUAAAAAAAGAGAGAGAGCAAUUAACCACCUUAGCUUUCCAAACAACUUCACCAAACACCUUACAAACACUAAGUGAAGAGGUUUUAUGGAACAAAAGUAAGAUUAAGUGGUUGUUUUGAUGAUUUGGAGCAAGAUGGAAUCAAGAACUUGGAGAGUUUCUCUCUUUCUUCUUGUCAAGAGGGCCGGUUUCAAGGAGUGAAUUUUGGAGUGAUUUUUGGUCCCAUUUUGAGUUAUUUUAACCAAAAGGUAAAAGGGUGAAUAGUGUUCAAACUUAAGAAUCAAUCCUAUGGUGACACUUGUCAUUUAAUUAAUGCAUCUCUAUCUUUUUGUUUCCUCUCAAACCAAUCCAAAUAGCAACCUCUACUUAUCUCUUAACACCCGAUAAUUUAAACCCAGUAUCCAAAACUUAACCUAGUUGGCCGAAUUUUUCCGAACUUUUCGCACUAGUGGGUCCCACGUUCGGUAUACGCUCUUAAUUUCUCAAAACCUAUUCGAUACUAGAAAAAUCAUCCAAAAACUAUAUCUGCUCAUUAAAAAUAUCUAGAAAUUUUCCUAAUCACGAAAAUGCAGAAAACAAACCAUGAAAAAUACUAAAACCUAGAAAAUGGGAAAAAUUACGGUUUCUCACACUCUAAACCGCGAGCAGAGUUUUCAAAAUUGAGGAGAGAUAAGUUUAACCAAUUUGCCAUGUGAUUAGUAUGCUACUAUUGCAAAUAAUAUAUGCGAGUUCUCCGUGAAAUUGUGGCUCCUUAAAUUUUGUCGAAGGAUUAUUUGGGGCUAAUGUCUAAUACGAUAAAGAUACAUAGCUGUUAAGUUAUUAGAAAACCCAAUCUAUGAAAUAUUUGAGUUCAUUUAGAAUACUUAAGAGCCAUUAAUGUAUUUAGGUAAUGAUCAUACUAUUUGAUUUGGUAUCGGACAUAGUAGAUCUACAAUUUGCGAAGGAAUUUUUUAUUAGUCUUAUUGAUGGGGUAAUUUCAUUAGUGAACACGCUCAAUGAGGUUGUCACCUUGGAUGUGUUGGGAUGAUUAUACACGGUAGUUAAUAUGAAAUAGACUCCUAUUAAUGGAUGAGAUUUAUUGAAUAAAUAUUUUGAUAUAUGUGAUAUUAAUUAUAUAGAUAGGACGUGAUGGUUAAUGGUAUUGAUAUUUCUUGAAGUUAUUGGGUAACUUGAUGUAAGAUUGAUAACUAACUUCGUCUAUGUUAUACAUGAAAUAUAUUGGUAGAUGUUGAUAUAGUGCUAAACUUAGGCUUGAUUAUAAUUGUGUAUAUAUGUAGACAGUCAUAGUUUAAGAGUUAUAAGCUAUUCAUUUGUAUGAGUAGUGAAGGUUUUAUAUUAUGCUUAGUAAGAUUUAAGGAUCCAUGACUGAAAAGAAUGUAUGAUAUUUUCUUAUUAGGUAUAAGCUGUCACUUAUUGGAAAAAAAAAAGAGAAUUAUUUUGCAGUUGAACUCAGAGAAAUGUAAUAUGUGGAGUAGGUUAUGAUUAUUAGGGCAAUGAUACUACUUUUGAAUCAUUGCAAUUUAUGAGUCUAAGGAAAUACUUAUCGUAACAUGUUUUAUAAAGAGUUGACAUAACAAUUAUUGAUGACAAGAAACACGAAAGGGUGAGAACAUGUAUAAAAUUUAAAAGUUAGUAAAUUUGACCUAUUUACCAUCUCAUAAAUUUGAAAGUAAGGAUAGACUAAUAUUGAAGCCAUGACUUGAUAGUUCUAUUGAAUGGAAUGAUAUUAUUGGGAUAUUUGAACCCAACCGUAAGUGUGAGACAGGCUAAAAUAUAUAUAUAUAUCCCAAAUUUUUGUGAAUAAAGAUAGGAAUUUCAAGGAUCUACCAGCUCUAUUAUGGGCUGACCCAAUAAAACUUUAGGUUGGGAUGAUAGAGUCGGAACUUUGCCAUGUUUGGAUACUGAAUGUAUUUACUAAAGACUUGUUUGACUUCCAUUAAAGUGUACUUGAGUUUGAUAUAUGCUGUAAUUGACUUUGUUAUGUGGUGUAAUUCAAUUGAUCGUGAAUUUGCUUUGUACUAAUGAUAUAUAUGGAGUGAAUGUGUUUCUGGGUUAGAGUUAACUACAAUUGUAUGCAUGCAUAAUUGAAUUAUUAUAUAUUUGUAAAUCGGCUAGUUGGGAGAGAUAUAAAGUUUCAGGUUUAUAAUGUUAUCAUAGGUAUAGAUUGUUUAAUUAGGUAUAAUGCCCAGUUGAAUUGUAUAACUAAAGAAAUUGAAUUUUAUACACUUGGGGAAGUAGCCGAUACAAUACUUAAAUUGGAAAGGAUAAAACGACUUAUUUUUCACCGUAAUAUUAUUCAGGCCCCGAUAAUCGAUACACAUCCUCAACCCACCGUCCUUUUUCUUCACAAACAGCACAGGGGCUCCCUAAGGAGACCCACUCUCUUGAAUGAAUCCCCGCUCCAAAACAUCCUAUAAUUGCAACUUUAGCUCCUUGAGCUCAGCAGGAGCCAUUCGGUAUGGUGUUUUUGAGAUAGGUGAGGAUCCCGGUAGCAGGUCUAUUUUGAAUUCAAUCUCUCUUUCCGGAAGCAGAGCUACUAACUCAUCAUGGAAUACAUCCGGAAAUUCUUUACUAUGGCCACGUCUUCCACCUUUAACUUAUCCGUGGGGUAUUAAUCAGAAAGGCUAAAAAUUCUUGCGCCCCUCUACUUAGCAGUUUCCUAGCCCGAAUGCCCGAAAUCAAAGCAGAUGAGGCUAACCGACCUCUUAUAUCCAACCUUAAGGUUGCCUCACCAGGGAUGCAGAAUUCUACCACUUUCGUUUUACAGUCCAGUUGGGCAUUAUACUUGGCUAACCAGUCCACCCAAAAUUAUAUCAUAUCCUUUGAUGGCCAGACUUAUCAAAUCCCCUAACAAUCUCUUCUCUCCUACCCACAUUCACAAUCCCUAUAAAUCAUACUAGUCACCAAACGUUGAUUCCCUGUAGGUGUACUAACUUCUAAGUCGUAUGAUAAAUUAGCAGGUUUUAUAUCGAUGCCACACAUGAAAGCAGGGUUACAAAGGAAUGGGUGGCACCAGGAUCAAUUAAAACUUUAGCAAAGCGGUGGAAAAUAGGGAUCGUACCUUCUACGACCUCCGCAGAAUCUGGGACCUGUUGGGGCUCUAAGGAAUACACUCGAGCUGGCACCUUAGGUUUGGACCAUCUCCCUUAACUGGUCCAGCAUUGGUCUUUGGCGGUUUGAGCCCCCUUUCCGUCUUGCUUUAAAAGUGGGCAGGUAGCAAGCUGGUGGUCUGCGCUUCCGCAAUGCAGAUAUUUGCCCCCUUUCUUCUAGCAACUAUCUUCGGAGUGAUUCGGCUUUUCGCAGUAUCCACAAGGCCCACGGGAUGCCGAACCGGAACCCUUCUGGAAGUUCCCGCCUUGGCCUCUUCCGGCUGAGCCACCCCUGGACUGAGCCCCUCUGUCAAAACCUGUCUGUCGUCCACCUCCAGCUCCUCGUCCGAACUUGGAGGGAGUACUUUUAUCCCCUUGUCCAGAGUGCUUCCAGGAAAACCCCGCUUCUUCGCCUGGAAGUUCCGUACUUGGAUCCUGGCACUCUCUACUCGUUGGGCUUUCUCAACGGCCUCGCUAAAAGCGUUAAUCUGGGCCACCGCGAGGUCCUUCUGAAUUUCCACAUUCAGGCCCUGAAUAAAACGCCUGAUCCGCCGUUGUUCCAUCACAAUUAACUCAGGGGCAAACUUAGAUAAGCGCGUGAAUUGGCUUUCAUACUCCGCUACGGAUUGAUCCCCUUGGCAGAGUCGAAUAAACUCAUCUUCCUUCCUCUCCUGAAUUAGAAGAGGAAAAAAUUUCGCGUUAAACUCCCUCAUAAAAUUUACCCAAGUCCUGGGCGUUUGUUCCCGUUCCCAUUUUUGCCGAAUGACAUUCCACCAGGAACGGGCCGCCCCUUCCAGCUGAAAAACGGCAAAAGUCACCUACCGUUCUUCGGUAUAAUGCAGGGCAGCGAAAAUUUCUAUCAUCUUCUCAAGCCACCUUUCGGCGACAUCCGGGUCGGGUCCCCAACAAACUUCGGUGGUGCAAACUUUUGGAACGCUCAAGUGCCCUAUCGUCACUUUCACAUGGUUGCCCGGGUUUCCAGGAUUAGGGUUUGGGUUUGGCCUUGUUGCUGCACCACUUGUGCUAGCAGGUUGGUCAUUUGCUGCAUAGCAGCAGCGAUUUGCACAUUGGGGUCAAGGUUAGGUCCAGAUGAGGUUUCCCCAGUACCCCUAUCCGGUGUGGGUUGUCUAUUUCCGCGCCCACGUCCCCGUCCACUACGUGUUCCUUCCAUAAAUUUUACUUGGUCUGGGCAAUUGUACUAAACCAAUAUAAAAAAUACAUGUAAGUAAAACCCAAAACUUUUCCAAGCAGAUAUAUACAUUCCAAUCAAGGCAAACAACACACCUAGCAACAAGCAGUCAAGUCAAGUACAAACAUGGAUAAUCCCUAAGGGAAUGGCCUCAUCAAAAGAAAUAUACACGCAGCUAAUCUAGACGUACAAAACGAUUAGCUAAGGCUCUUCCCUAUCCCUAUCCACAAGAAACAAAACUAUCCCAAAAACCUAAGAGUCGAGACCUAGUCCGUCGAUGGCUAGUAGACCCCCUCGACGGGGUAGAUCCAGUCCCAGCUUCGGCCCCACAUGAGUCCUCGUCGCUUACCCCUCGACCACCUCGGCGCAGAGGUUUAAGAUCGAUGCGGCUCGAAUCUUCACCUUUCGGGCUCUCUUAGACUCGCGCUCACGCGCCUCCCUAAGCUGAGUACAGAGGUCAUCAACCCUAUCCUCGACCUCAAGUACGUCAUACUCUAGCCCCUUAAUAUGCUCGGCCUGUCUCUCAUUGGCCGCCCUAAGCUGGGUCACCUCGGCCUCAAGUCGAGCAUUCUCUCCGGCCAACUCCUUACGCUUCUCGGCCACGGCCAACACUAGAGCGUUAGGGUAAGUAUACUUAUGGCGACACUCACACCGUCUGAGGCGGUUAGCCGGGCUCCAACGAACCACGGCCCCUCCUGGCCGAAUCUGGUAUGGGAUCACUGGAAGCGCUUCACGAGGUCUCUCGCCCGGAGGACUAUCACUAGGCUCACCCUAUCCGGCCAUCCUACACCAAACGAGCAAUUAACCAUAAAUAAGCUUAAAGGCCAUAAACAAAGAACCCUCAAAUCGAGCAUUUCUAUUACACCCAGGCUAAUUCAAACCUAGGCUCUGAUACCACCUGUGACAGCCCCACCUUCCCCUAAGACGAACCAAAGGGUUAGCGGACUGCCUGCCCAACUCUCGCCAGGACUAACGGUGCAGUUUAGAGCUAUCUAUUGCGUUCCGGAACUUACAAACGCGCAUAAACAAGUCCAAAUGUCAAAAUAAAAAAAUAAAAAAAAAAAUCCGGAGUCGGCCAUGAGUAGUAAUCGACCUGUCAGAACCCAACCAAAUAUCAAGCGAACAUUCACAUCUUGAACUUUAGUAUUUUACAAUCCAAAGUGGAUACAUGUAUGGUUUGCCAAAACAAAAGAGAAACGGACCAAAAGUACAUUUAGGGUUUCAGUAAAUAAGCUAUACAAAAGUUAUGUCCAACUAGCUCAAUUCGGCAACCAAAUAUCAAUUGCAGUCCAAAAGUAUUUAUUUUCCUGUAAGGAAAACAAAAGGAAUAGAGUGAGCUAAUUGCCCAGUGAGAUAAUACUACUCAAGCAACCAAGUUCAUAGAUACAUUAAGCUUUUCAGUCCAAUUCAUCAAAAGUAAAUAAAGACACACAUCAAUAAUGAUGAUAAAAGGAUACGGGCGGCUCUCAAAAGCCCUUUUCCUCGUUUACAUUCUUGAUCGGAUCUCAUUGACUCUCCGUCAAUGUUUAAAAGUAACCAACCGUAGACUUCACUUUACUUCCAUUCCUUCCACCUAACAUUCCCCUACCGGGCCCGAACUCCAAACACUUGCACUGUGGUAUUACUCGAGUAACCGGAAUCGAGAGUCUCUCAUACUACAAGAUUCCAUAACAGUCCCCAAGGUUCAUUAAUUGGCACGACCAAACCCUUGCCGGCUCGAUUCAAUCAACUACCAAUGGGGUUGAGCUCAAUGGUAACAAUCAUGGUCGUUGGAUACUCGUCCAAAUGACACCAAGUCAAGUACUUUCAUUUCAUGUAACAUUUCAUGUAACAUUCCAAUAACAUGAUAAGCAAUAAGUGAGAGUGAUAAAGUACGCUCUCACUUCAAUCAUUUAACAUUCAACGCAUCAAGUUCAAGUAUCAAAGCCAUAUAGUAACACACAAGUGAGUAGUACACUCACCAAGCUUGCAAAUGGUGUUUCAUGCACUUCCAUCAAAAGAACGUCGUGAACCACCGUCACGCCCUAAAACAUGCAAAAAGUACAAUGAGACUCGAUAACGAGUCAUAAACCAAUGCCAAAUACGACCCCAAUAGGGUUCCAUAAGCAUAUACAAGCAUUAGAGGAAACCAGAAAAAUCCGGAAAUGGAAUUAGCUUUACCCUGAAAAAACAGUUUUUGACCUCAUUUUGCGGUAAUGGCACCGAAGGUACUACGAUUAUCGGAUUAAGGUGCAAGACCCACCGUUUCGAAGCUAAGAGAUAGGGCUACAAUGUUCCAGAAGGCAACUCUGUCCAGUUUCGAGUGUAACAAGGUCAAAAAGGCAAGAUACUACACCAGAACCGGAAAAACAGAUUCACAAAACGCAUUCUGGUGUAAACAUCAUAAAACAAGCUACCUAAGUCCAAAUCCAGUAAUUCUAAAGCCAUCCAAAAGCUUAGAAACAGGGAUACAUUUCAUCAAAAGAUCUCAAUAACCAGUUCUGAAGCAUUCCUAACCAAAAUAACCAAUUACAGACGCAAUUCUCAAAUUCGGGUAAAACCAGGACAACAAGGGUAAUUUUGACUUUUCUCAAGCUACGCCACUCCGAUUGACCUGAAAUUUUGUAGGAAUCUCUAAAAUAUCAUUCCCUAAAACUUUCAUGUUUUAAUCCAAGACCAAUUCGGCCUCUAACUAUGAGCUACAAUACCGGGCAGAAUGUAUAACUUUGAUACCCUAGUUUUUCAAUUUUCUUCCAAAAUAGAAAUUUCUUGCAAUUAACCACUUUUUCCACCUCCUAGCUUCAUUACAUACCAAUUCCAAUCAUCAUACAUGCUCACAUAAUCAUAUUCAUAUUAAAUCAGAAAAAUCACCAAUAAUUAUAAAACUUCACCAAUUCAACCAAAAAUGAAGAUUAAUCCAUAAACUUGCAUCUCAUACUAUCACCAAGCAUGAAUUAAACAUUAUUAGAGGGAGGAAAGGAGUCCUUCACCACUCACCUUGGUAAAAAAGAGAGAGAGCAAUUAACCACCUUAGCUUUCCAAACAACUUCACCAAACACCUUACAAACACUAAGUGAAGAGGUUUUAUGGAACAAAAGUAAGAUUAAGUGGUUGUUUUGAUGAUUUGGAGCAAGAUGGAAUCAAGAACUUGGAGAGUUUCUCUCUUUCUUCUUGUCAAGAGGGCCGGUUUCAAGGAGUGAAUUUUGGAGUGAUUUUUGGUCCCAUUUUGAGUUAUUUUAACCAAAAGGUAAAAGGGUGAAUAGUGUUCAAACUUAAGAAUCAAUCCUAUGGUGACACUUGUCAUUUAAUUAAUGCAUCUCUAUCUUUUUGUUUCCUCUCAAACCAAUCCAAAUAGCAACCUCUACUUAUCUCUUAACACCCGAUAAUUUAAACCCAGUAUCCAAAACUUAACCUAGUUGGCCGAAUUUUUCCGAACUUUUCGCACUAGUGGGUCCCACGUUCGGUAUACGCUCUUAAUUUCUCAAAACCUAUUCGAUACUAGAAAAAUCAUCCAAAAACUAUAUCUGCUCAUUAAAAAUAUCUAGAAAUUUUCCUAAUCACGAAAAUGCAGAAAACAAACCAUGAAAAAUACUAAAACCUAGAAAAUGGGAAAAAUUACGGUUUCUCACACUCUAAACCGCGAGCAGAGUUUUCAAAAUUGAGGAGAGAUAAGUUUAACCAAUUUGCCAUGUGAUUAGUAUGCUACUAUUGCAAAUAAUAUAUGCGAGUUCUCCGUGAAAUUGUGGCUCCUUAAAUUUUGUCGAAGGAUUAUUUGGGGCUAAUGUCUAAUACGAUAAAGAUACAUAGCUGUUAAGUUAUUAGAAAACCCAAUCUAUGAAAUAUUUGAGUUCAUUUAGAAUACUUAAGAGCCAUUAAUGUAUUUAGGUAAUGAUCAUACUAUUUGAUUUGGUAUCGGACAUAGUAGAUCUACAAUUUGCGAAGGAAUUUUUUAUUAGUCUUAUUGAUGGGGUAAUUUCAUUAGUGAACACGCUCAAUGAGGUUGUCACCUUGGAUGUGUUGGGAUGAUUAUACACGGUAGUUAAUAUGAAAUAGACUCCUAUUAAUGGAUGAGAUUUAUUGAAUAAAUAUUUUGAUAUAUGUGAUAUUAAUUAUAUAGAUAGGACGUGAUGGUUAAUGGUAUUGAUAUUUCUUGAAGUUAUUGGGUAACUUGAUGUAAGAUUGAUAACUAACUUCGUCUAUGUUAUACAUGAAAUAUAUUGGUAGAUGUUGAUAUAGUGCUAAACUUAGGCUUGAUUAUAAUUGUGUAUAUAUGUAGACAGUCAUAGUUUAAGAGUUAUAAGCUAUUCAUUUGUAUGAGUAGUGAAGGUUUUAUAUUAUGCUUAGUAAGAUUUAAGGAUCCAUGACUGAAAAGAAUGUAUGAUAUUUUCUUAUUAGGUAUAAGCUGUCACUUAUUGGAAAAAAAAAAGAGAAUUAUUUUGCAGUUGAACUCAGAGAAAUGUAAUAUGUGGAGUAGGUUAUGAUUAUUAGGGCAAUGAUACUACUUUUGAAUCAUUGCAAUUUAUGAGUCUAAGGAAAUACUUAUCGUAACAUGUUUUAUAAAGAGUUGACAUAACAAUUAUUGAUGACAAGAAACACGAAAGGGUGAGAACAUGUAUAAAAUUUAAAAGUUAGUAAAUUUGACCUAUUUACCAUCUCAUAAAUUUGAAAGUAAGGAUAGACUAAUAUUGAAGCCAUGACUUGAUAGUUCUAUUGAAUGGAAUGAUAUUAUUGGGAUAUUUGAACCCAACCGUAAGUGUGAGACAGGCUAAAAUAUAUAUAUAUAUCCCAAAUUUUUGUGAAUAAAGAUAGGAAUUUCAAGGAUCUACCAGCUCUAUUAUGGGCUGACCCAAUAAAACUUUAGGUUGGGAUGAUAGAGUCGGAACUUUGCCAUGUUUGGAUACUGAAUGUAUUUACUAAAGACUUGUUUGACUUCCAUUAAAGUGUACUUGAGUUUGAUAUAUGCUGUAAUUGACUUUGUUAUGUGGUGUAAUUCAAUUGAUCGUGAAUUUGCUUUGUACUAAUGAUAUAUAUGGAGUGAAUGUGUUUCUGGGUUAGAGUUAACUACAAUUGUAUGCAUGCAUAAUUGAAUUAUUAUAUAUUUGUAAAUCGGCUAGUUGGGAGAGAUAUAAAGUUUCAGGUUUAUAAUGUUAUCAUAGGUAUAGAUUGUUUAAUUAGGUAUAAUGCCCAGUUGAAUUGUAUAACUAAAGAAAUUGAAUUUUAUACACUUGGGGAAGUAGCCGAUACAAUACUUAAAUUGGAAAGGAUAAAACGNNNNNNNNNNNNNNNNNNNNNNNNNNNNNNNNNNNNNNNNNNNNNNNNNNNNNNNNNNNNNNNNNNNNNNNNNNNNNNNNNNNNNNNNNNGUGUACAGUGCAUGUGGGACCCACUAGGGUAAUCGGUACCGGUAAAUGUGACUUUGGGAAAUUUUCUAUACGGAAGCUUUAGUACCUAGUGUUAUGAGCUAAUUAGUGGUUAGCUAGUAUAAUUAAGUUUUUACAAGACAAAGAUGUUGGAUAAGCUUGGAAAACACAUGUUGAGAUCUUAUUGGAAGUUGGACUUUUGACUUUCACUUUACCUUUCUUAUUAAGAGAAAAAUUGAUCCAAAAUUACUCAUUUUUCUCUUGCUCAUUGCCGACCAACCUUGAAGAAAGAAAGAAAGAAACCUCUUCAACUUUUGCUUCAUUUCUUGGCCAAAUCUUGCAAACCAACCAUUAAUCUUUCAAAUUUCUCCACAAAACUUGCUUGCUAUGAAGGGUUGAACUACAUGGUGGUUUUUGUUUGAAGAGAAAAGCUAUCCUCUACCUUGUAUUCCACAUUUGUAAGGUAAGCAAGUUAGGAAAUGUUUAUGUGUUGGUUGUGAGAUGAAAUUAGUACAUGUUAGUGGUUAUAGAAGCCAUUUUAUGGGUUAUUUCAAGACUUGUGGUUGAGUUAUGGAAAUUUUCUAUUUAUUGAGGAAUUUUCUGUUUUAUAUGAUUUCUCAUGGUUAGCUAGGUUGUGAUGGUAUUUUAUUGCAUGAUUUGGAGCCUAGAUAUGUUAAUGGUGUUUAAUUGUAGAAAAUUUCAGCAUUUGUAGGAUUUUCGGUUUUUAGGUUUUGGUAUAAAUUGGGGUUUUUCUAUAUAUGGUAUAUAUGCUAGUAGUUGAUGUGUAUUUGUUUGUAUUGUGGCUUAAAUGGGAUGAAUGGACUAAAUUGUGAUAUAUAAGUGUAUUGGUACAGGUUGAAUGCUUGUGGUUUGGUUGGAAAUGUGAAGAAAUUAAGGGGUUAUGCCGUCCAAAUGGUUAGAAAUAUAGAUGGUUUUGUAUUGAGAAGGAUUUGAGUAGAAAGGGAUAAGUUUUGGGUUUUUACUCACAUCCCACACCUUAAUGUUUCAUUGUAUUGGCUUUUGAGCAACUUGCAUUAGUAAGUUAAACUUGUAAUGGUUAUUUGCUUGUUUUAGGUCGUACCGGUGGGCCGGGACCUACACCUGAUUCAAACGUGUGACUUGCUUGAAAAUUUGGUGAGUGUACCAGUAUUUGAUGAACAUACUUGUUAUGUGAUUUUAAAGGUCUUGAUUUGGGUCGAGAGUGUACUUGAUCGCUCUUGACCACUUACUUGCAUUUACCAUUAUUGUAACAUCCCGAAUAUUAGGAGGUUGUUUGUGAAGAAAAUAUUAAAGUAUAUUUCUUCGGGUUUGAUUUAAAACCUUAUUUCGUUUUAAACGACUAGAAACCCUAAUGUUUUAAUCAAAAAACCCUAGUUUACUUGUGACUAAACGGUUUCUUAAAUCUUUCAUAUUUUACUAGAGAUUCUAAUGUUAAUUAUUGAAAUUGUAAAUUCCUCACGUUUUCUUAAAAAAUUUCAUUUUAUUUGAAAAUUAUUAUUUAUUAAGGCCCUACUACCCAAUUGUUCAACAAUAAGUGCAGAUGAACCUGGAAAUAGGGUUUUACACUUCGGUUUCAAGAUUUGAGCAAAAUUAGGGUUUUCGCGAUUUUUCGCCGGAUGAAUUUUCGGUACUGACCAAUGAUCAAUUUGGUGAUUAAAAGUGACUUUUAAGUGAAAAAUCAUAUGUGAGUAGUAGCAAUGAUAUAAGGUUAGAGUAUGGGAAGAAAAAAAAAACAGUAGUACGUGAGUUUUUAAGAAAAACGGCGCGAACCGGCGGGUCCCGCGCACUACCGGUUGAACGUACCACUUGACCACCACUUUCUUACCAUACAAGCUUAUUGACUUUUGAGCAAAAUAUCUUCUUGUUUGGCAGCUGCUUUGACCAAAAAUUUGAGGCUAGAAAAUAGCAAGGAAGAAAGAGAAAAAUGAAAGGUGGUGGUGGCGACACUAGAGUUUCUUGGCCAAGUGAUUAACUAGCCUUCUUAAACCAAUUUUCUGCACUUUCCUCUUCAUUUUUCCAGCAGCUGGUCGACCAAGAGGGAGAGAGAAAGUGAGAGCAAGAAACAAUUCCUUCUUCUUGAUUCUAACCAACCAAGUGACAAAUUAAAUUUCUAAACCGAUUAAACUUACCUUUGAGUGAUUAGUUAGUGAUUGUUGGUGAAAUUUUGGAAAGAGAAAGCUUGGGCUACACUUGGUGAACUCUAAUCAAGGUAAGAGGAUGAUAUCUCUCUAACUUUCUCUUUCAAUCAUGGUUAAAGUAAGCUUAGUAGCUUGAUUGGUGGUGGAUUCAUGGAUGCUAGCAUGUGUAGAAGUUUUUCCCCAAUUUAUUUGAUGAACUAGGGCUGUGGAAUUUCUGCCCAACUUGAUGUAUGAUGCUUGUAUGUUACAAUUAAUGUUGUAUAAGAUGUUUUGGUAGUGUGAGAGGUGAGAAAUUGGGGAAAGUUGCACUAGAAACUACAAAUUUCAGAUUUCUGGAAAUUCUAGCUUACAUUCUGUCCGAAUUUGUAUCUGUGUGUUAGAGGCCGAAUUGGCUUUGGGUCAAAGAAGGAAAGUUGUAGAGAAUGGUAUUUUGUAGGUGCCUGUAAAAUUUCAGCCCAAUCGGAGCAACGUAGGUCAUGAAAAGUCCGAAAUACCCUUACUGUUUCAAAUAUUUCCCAGCAGUCCGUUUCAUCAGUUAAGUCCAGUUUAUCACGUUUUUUGACUAGGAGCCGUACUGAUUUAGCUCUGGGCCAAAACAUGAAAGUUGUAGUAUUCUGACUUAGCUUUUAAAUGCCUCCAAGAACACCUGAUUCGGACUUUUGUACUCUGAGAUAUGACCAUUACAGGGUAAUGCGGUUAUAUAGCCGACGAAUUGGUUUCUGGUUUAGUAAUUUGAGGAUUUGACUAAGCUACAUUAGGAACUGGACUAAGUGACCUUCAUGAAUAUUGCAGCCCUAUAUCUUAGCUUCGAAACGGCAUAGGUUACGCCUCAAUCCAAUAAGCGUAGCCUCGGAUAUGUUAUUUCCGCAUUCGUACGUCAAAUCUGUCUUGUGCUAAGUUGAAUUUCUGCACUUGUCAUUGUUGUGAUUCUUGUUAUUAUGAUAUUGUGAGCCUAUGGAACGGCUCUGGACAUGAAUUGUUGACAUAUGUGAUGUUGGGUUGUGGUUGAGAAAAAUAAUGAAGCCUAAAUGGCUGGAAAAUUAGGUAAACACAAAGGGCAUGCUGCCCGAAUUUACGCUCGAGAACUAUAUAAAUACACUUGCGACUUGAGUCGAAUUGAUAUGAAUAGUGCUUGAACCAUCUAGGGUACUUGAGUAUUUUUGUUCCGGGGUAUAUAAGGAAGGACUUGGCCGAACUUGUACCCUUGAGAAAGGAAAUAAUGAUUGCUCGGAGUAUGUUUUCCUUAUACUUUCGACUUGCAUGGCAUUUUCAAGUAUAAAUGUUACAAAGUUUUACCAUUUAAAAAGCGAGCAAGUGUUUCACGACUACCAUCCGAGUGAAUUUCAAUUUCUUGAUUUUAUUGAACGAAACGUCUAAGUUUCGAAUCUUAGUCAUGUUUCAAAGUUCUCAAACUGAGUUUUAUCGCAGAUUUGGACUCCGAACCCGGAGUAUAACCUGAAAGUGACCAGUAAAGGCACUAUAUCUUUUGGUGAGUGCUUUCAAAUACCGAAUUGCACUAGAUACUUGAACUUGAUACGUGACCAAUAUGAGUACAUGUUAUAUACGUGAAUUGAUAGGGCAAGAGUGUACUUUAUCGCACUUGCCCUUACGUGAUAUACUUGUUUAUUGUUGCAAUUGACUUGAUAUACUUGAUUAUGAUACGCGCACUUCCUGGAAUUCCAGAAACCCUGUGGCGAGUUACUCUAGUCGAGCCGGCAAGGGCUUGGUCGAUUGGGUAACGAACCCUGGGUCUCUUGUAUUGUCGAGUGGAGUGAUAUCUCCUCGACUAAUCGGUAUACUCGAGUAUUACCACCCGUGUUCUUGAGGAUUUUGGGCCCAGCUGGGGGUUGAACGGUGGACGGAGAGUCGUUUAAGUGGUGUUCUACUGGAUUGGUUACUUACUUGAAAGUUGACGGAGUGUCAACUACUACGGGAUCAAGCUUCUGGUAAUGUAAUGGGAAUUUGGCUCCUGAGAGUCAUCCGUAUCCUUAUACUUUGGAGUAAUUAUUGUUUAUUGGAUUAUUGUUUCUUUUGAAAAAUUUUCUACAUUCGUUCAUUUUAAGAUUGCUACUUGACGUGUUAUUGCUCACCUUUAUGAACUCUUCAUGCUUGUUACUUUGCUAUACCGAAAACUUGUACUUCUAAAUAAUGGUCAAUUUGCUAUUUGGAACCUCACUGGACUUUUAGCUCAUUCCACUCCAUUUGUUUUCCUUUCAGGGGUACGAGUGACGCGUGAGACUUGUAAAAGACUAGCGUAGCCUUUUGUUUUGACUUUUGACUUUUUGGUCUUGUACUCGCGCUAUUCCUCGAAUGGAACAUGUUGUACUUGGAUUGUAUACGUAUUGAACUAGUUGGGUGUGUUGAGACUUUGUACCUCGAUUUCUAUUAAUGUAAAUUAUAAGCUUGAAUUGGGAAUGUUAUUUAUGGUUCAUGGAUGUGUGUAUGUGACUCGAUUAAGAUAGUGAGUGAGUCCUGGCGAGAGCUGGGCAGGCGGUCCGCCGAACCCUUUGGUACGCCUUAGGAGGAGGUGGGGUCGUCACAAUUAUUGUUUGGAUGUGAAGUGGUAUAUAUACAUGAUUUGACAUUUGAUGGGGCAAUGCCUUAAUAUUAAUGUGAAAUUGAGCUCAUGCCCUUAGACCGUUAUUCGAGUCGAGCCGGCAAGGGCUUGGGCGAUUCGUUAAUGAGCAUUCGGGUUCUUGAUAGGCGAGUGGAGUGUUAACUCCUCGACCUUGUGGUAUACUCGAGUAUUACCCUUUUGGAACUAUGAGGCGGCGGGCCCGAAUAGGGGGUGAAUGGUGGAAGGAAAUGGUGCGAAGUGGUGUCUACGGAUCUUGGAUUGUUUAAAUGGUUGACGGAGUGUCAACAUGUGCGAUCAAGUAUGGCAAUCGGAAACCGGCCCUUGAGGGUCACAUGUAUCCUUUUAUAUGUGUAUGUUUGUAUGAAGGUGUUUAUGUAUAUGUGUUAAUAGUUGUAUCAUGAAAUUGUGCAUUUGGUACCUCACGAGCGUAAGCUCACCCCCGUUGUUUUGUUUUCCUUACAGGAGCAUGAUUGGAAACAAGUUUUGAUAUGAGUUGAGCUAGUUAAGUGAUAGUUUUGAAAAGCUCCUCGAGAACUUGAACUUUUGAUGUAUAUGACUUCGUGUACCUUUGAGGUGUAAAUUGAACCUUUCUUAUGUAUAUAAGGCAUGUACAUAUAUGUCUUUAUCAAGUCUUGGAUGAACUACAUUAUGUGUUUGGUGUAUUUAUGUGAGUACCGUAUGCAAACGAAGGAAGAAAGAAUUUUUGGCAAAACGCUGCCCAGAAUCCGGCCAAGAAUCCGGCCAGUUUCUGGCCGGAUACAAGGCCGGAUAUGCAGGGGAAAAAGAAAAAAAUUUGGUUUUGGCUUCGGGUGGCAAUCCGGCCGAAGCAAUCCGGCCAACUUCCGGCCGGAUUUCCGGCCGGAUUGACAGGGGAAUUUCGACCCCUUUGGGGUCUAGCCUCGGCCUCCUAUCCGGCCGAGAAUCCGGCCGGGUAUCCGGCCGGAUAGUGACGUGGCCGGUUACUGUUCAUCCGCGGCAAAUUUUCGUUUUUCGUUUUCUUGUCCGACUGAAGUGCUCGAGCGCUAUACUUUCUUGCAUAAUGAUAUUAUGGUUAUAGGAACAAGAUAAUGGGAUAAAUCGUUCACUUUGUUGAAUUUUCCUUUAUAUAUUAAACGAAAUUCGAUUUGUUUGCGACCCGUAGUCCUGGCGAGAGCUGGGCAGGCGGUCCGUCGACCCCUCUGGUUCGCCUUAGGGGAAGAUGGGGUCGUCACAGAAUUGGAAAACAUGAAAGUUGUAGGUAUUGAUGAGUUUGAAGUGCCUACAAAAUUUCAGGUCAUUUGGAUUAGUGUAGAGUGAGAUAUGUCGAUUUUACUGUUGCUGUUCUGGGUUGAUCAGAAUGCGAAAACGGCGCUAGUAAUUGGCCAUUUUGACUGGAAUUGGAUUGGAUUUUGUUGUUGGUGUCUUCUGAUGAAAUGUAGCUUAAUGUCUUAGCUAACAUAUGCCAUUGGAAUUUCGGCAUUUGGACCUGUAUAGACUGAGUUGUGUUCAUUACAGCAUUGUCCGAUUUGUAAACCUGUUUUUGGUGGUUCUGGUGUAGUAUUUGGCAUAUUUGACCUAGUUCUGCUAGGAUUUGGAUUGAGUGGCCUUCCACAUUGUUGUAGCCCUGUUUCACAGCUUCGAAACGGUGGGUCUUACACCCCCAUCCGAUAAUCAUAGUGAAAUUGACACCAUUACCGCAAAAUGACGUCAAAACUGUUUUUCUGGUUUUGAGCUUAACCUUCAUUUCCGAACUUUUCCCUAGCUUGACUUGUACUAGUACUACUUGGAGCUUGCUGAAUGGCUAUUGGAUGAACUUAUUUGUGUGACUUUGGAACUGGCUGAGGAAAUAAUGAAGCCUUGACGGCUGGAAAAGUAAGCAAAUUUAGGGGAAGUGCUGUCCGAAGUUUUAAAGGGUUUGAUUGCUUUGAGUUUGUGAUCUAAGACUUGGAUUUGAGCAAGGCAAUGUUAUAUGAUGGAUGAUUUCUGAGCCGUGGAGGUGGGUGACCUCAAACUACUUCUAAAGUUAUUUAUGAACAGUUUCUUACGUUAUUUACUUUUGAACUGUUUCCAAAGUUACUUUUGAAAUGUUUUCUUGCAUAUCAUGCGUGCUGGCAUGUGAGUGUGUCUUGUUUGCUAUAUUUCUUGACUUCAUGAUUUGUAUUUUGGUUGAAAACGUGUUAAGCGCUUAUAAUGAUUUUCAAAACGAGUUUUCGAGGCGAGUGUGUACUUUAUCGCACUCGACCUCGAUAAAUGUGAAAUUUUCGAUUGAAAUGUUACUUGCGCAUGAAUGUAAGCCUUUUGGGCUGAACAGGCCAUUGCCCCUUGUUACCGAUCGUCUUGAGCCAGAAGCGGACUCGGUCAGGCGAUUAGGAACUUGGGUGAACGUUUGGUAUACUCGAGUAUUACCUAUGUAGGUUGGUGGAGCCUGGCCAAAAGCCAGGGACGGGGUGAAUGAAAUGAAAUAAAUGAUCAAAUGAGCGAGCAAAUGUCAGGAGAAUGAAUGUAUCCUUUCAUGAAUGUUACUAUCGCUUUCCAUUGUACAUGUUUCUUGAAUUAUUGAUACUCCAUAUUUAAUGUUUUGUAAAUGCUGUAAUCGUUUCUGGACUUAUCAUUUGAUUUAUGACAUCAUUGAUUUAUGACAUCAUUGAAAAGAAAUAUUGUUAAACCGAUUUGAUUACUGAUUUUCUGGUUACUCGCUGAGCUUCUAGCUCACCCCAAAAAUGUUUUAUUUUCCCCCCCACAGGGCUCAAGGUGAAGAAAAUCUUGGAGUGCUUAUUCACGUGACUGGAUGGCUUAUAUCGUGUACAGUUUAAGUUUGGAUCUAUUUUAUGUACGAGUUGGUCUUGUAUAAAUAUUUGAAAUUGAUAUGGAUGUAAGUAUACGUUCCACGAUUGGAAUCAGUUUCCGCUGCAUUUGUCAUAUGUAAUCAUUGGAGAAUUUGAUGUAAUUUUGAGAUUUAUAUUGUAAUUGGGUUGAGGACUGUAGUGAGCGACUGAAUCCCGGCGAGAGCUGGGCAGGCGGUCCGCCGAACCCUCUGGUACGCCCUAGGGGGAGGUGGGGCCGUUACACUUUUUCUCACUUAUAGUGCUAACACAAACUUACCUCAAGUGUAAUCAAGUUACAGACCCUUAUUCUAGUGCUCACCACUAUUUCGUACUCAAGUACAAGAAUCCAUAAUAAGAUAAUUCACAUCUCGAGCCGGCCGAUCCCAAGAGUAAAUCACCCCUAUUAGAGAUUUCUACCUGACGUACAUAUCUAUCCAUGAUAAGGGAUUUCCACUUACAACUGGCAAGAUUCAUAGCUUACGUCCAAGAAGAGCACUCAGUCCUUUACAUUUAUUCACAUAAUCGGGACCAUAUCACCACUUGGCCCAACCUCACUCCGCGCAGAGACCAUGCGAAGCAUCUCUGAUACCAUCUGCGACGGUCCCACCUCCCCCUACGACGUACCCCAGGGUUCGACGGAUCGCUUGCCCAACUCUCGCCAGGACUCACUUACUCACUUCAAAUAUAAUAGAUUAUAACUUCAAGGGGAAAAGAAAUACCAGUUUCCAAACUUGAAACAAGCAUGUACAUUCAUUUCUGUUUCAGACAUUCGUACAAUUCCAUAUAUAUCAAAAGAUGUGAGUUUCAGAUACAUUCAGUCCUAAUCGAGUACUGGUGCGAGUACAAUCGUAAAAUUUAAAAACUACUAAACUAUGUUAGCCUGUACCAGUCUCACGCCUCGCUCGAACCCCCCUGUAAGGAAAACAAAUGGCAUGGAGUGAACUAAAAGCCCAGUAAGAUUCCAAAUAGCAAGUUGACCGUUAUUGAAAAGUACAAAUAUCACGUAGCAAAAUAGCGAGCAUAACAAGUACAUGAAAGUGAAUAAUAACACUUCAAAUAGCAAAUGUCAAAAUGAGCGAGUGAAAACUCUUUUUGUUUUCCAAAAGAACAAUAACACUUCGAAUAACAAUCAAUGUAUAAGAAUACAGAUGGCUCUCAGGAGCCAAAUUCCCAUUUCUUCACCAGAGCUUGAUCAAGUAUUAGUUGACACUCCGUUAACUUUCAAGUAAAGUAAUUAGUCCAGUAGUACACCACUUAACUCCAAUCUUCAUCCACCAACCAAACCCCUUACCGGGCCCGAAUUCCACAAUAAACACUGGUGGUAAUAGUCGAGUAUACCGAUUAGUCGAGGAGAUAAUACUCUAUUCGACAACACUAGAUACCCAUGGUUCGUUAUCUAAUCAACCAAUCCCUUGCUGACUCGACUCGAUUAACUAACCAGUGGGGUUUGGGUUCCCAAGAAUUUGAUGAGAUAACAUCUCCAAUCGACUGAAUCAAGAUAAAAAUACGGAGACGGGAAUGAGAGGCACCUCCCACUCACAUUGAGUAUGGUACAUGCUGCCGCUCAACACUUAUAAGUCAAGCACAAUUAUAUUAAGUCAAUUGCAACAAUAAACAAGUAUAUAUCAUAUUAGGGUAAGUGCGAUAAAAUACACUCUUGCCCGAUCAAACAAAUUACACAUCAUUAAAUCACAUUGGUCAAGUAUUGAAAACAAUUGUCCAGUUCAACCAGAUAUUUGGAAGCACUCACCAAAGAUCUAGUGCCACUCAAAAGUCACGUUCAUGUCCAACUUCUUGGUUGGAGUCCAAAUCUGCGAUAAAAUAUCAUUUACAAAUGUAAAACUCUCUAGAGUUCGAAACAUAGGAGUUUCGCUUCAAGAAAAUCAAGUAAAAUGCAACUCGUUUAAGUAGUAUUCGAGAUACUUAUCAAAGUCCAAAAAAUUCAUGCUCGCUUGUUUAGUUAUGAUCAAGAAGUGGUUUCGACUUUAGAAGUUACACUUGGUAUUAAAAACUGGGAAAAAUCGUAUUUUGAAAGGGUCGCUACUUUCACUUUUCAAGGGUACGAGUUUCGGCAAAAUUUUAGCUUAUAUACCCUAACUAAAGAAAACUUGAAUACCAUAGGUGAUCCAAGUCCAACUUGACCUCAAAUCCUUACUCAAGUCGCAACUAUAUCUACUUAACCCUUAAGUGAAAAUUCGGGCAGUACGCCCUUUGUGUUUACCUAUUUUCCAACCAUUUAUGGCUUCAUUGUUUUUCUUAAUUCAGCGUCAAAACACAUACAAAUAAUCAAUCUCAUCACAAUAGCCGUUCAAUGGCUCAAAAUCAUUCAAGUGCAACACAAGUAUAAUAAUCCAAUCGGAAAUCAAGUUUUGAAGACAAAAAGCUAAAUGACAGAUUUGACAUCUUAUAACAUUUUAGUCACAACUAGAGUUACGUUUAUCGGAUUAGUGUGAACUCUACUCCGUUUCGAAGCUAAGACAAAGGGCUAUAACUUUCAUGAAGACCACUCAAUCCAGUUCACAAUUGAUCUAGGUCAAAAAUACAGAGUACAGAACCAGAAUGUCCUUGUCAAUACGGUUGUCAGUACUGAAUUCAAAUGACAAUAACUCAGGCUACACAAUUCUGUUUGAGGUGUUUUCGGAUAUUUUGGAAAUGAAACAUUGGGUAAAAGUUUCAUGUUUUGGCCAAAGGUUGAUUUGAUACGGAUCAAGGUGAAAAAAUGCAGCCAGACUGAUGAAAUGUCAAAACAGUCCGCAAAACUAUACCUAUGGCAGUCAAGGGUAUUUUUGUCAUUUCAUGUGCUACAGUGCUUGGAUUGAGCUGAAAUUUUAUAGCCAGCUUAAAACAUAAGUUCCCACAACUUUCAUGUUUUAACCUAAGCCCAAUUAGGCCUCUAUCAUAUACGAAUAGAACUGGUCAGAACAGAGCAUUUGAAAUCCUUAAAUCUGGAAUUUAAUGCAUUCAAGGUAUCAACUUCACAUUUCUAGCUUGAACCACUACUUCAACUUCUUAUCUAAGCUUAUUCACAUCAUAUUCUAUCUAAACAAGAAGAAAUACAGCUGAACAAUUCAAAACCCUAACUCACAAAUCCACCAUAAUCAUCAAAACUAUUUACAUAUCUAUCAUUAACCAAGAAUAUGAGUUACUACACAACUUAAGUAAGAUUAAGGGAAAGAAAUAGGAUGGACAGCCAUAAUACCUCACUAAGAUACUUGCAAGAGAUAUCCACCACCUCUCCUUGUAAACUUUUAGCACACCAAGCUUCCCAAGUAUUCAAAGAAAGGAUUAAUCAAUUUAGAUUCUUGAUUUUUCACUCAAAUAAGCUAAAAUCCCAAGAUGAAAUGAGGUUCUCUCCUCUUGUUUUUCUCCUCUAAAAUUUCAGCCAAGCUCAGGAAAAUGGAAGAAAAUAGAGCCAAGAAGAAGAUAAAAAGGAAAGAAACUCAUUUGGUCAAAGUUCCAUGGAUUGCCAACAAGUGUCAACUCAAGAUAGCUUCUUAUUUUUUUUUCUUUUCUCCCUUUUCUUUAGUCCAAAAUUUUGGCUGCUUUAGGGGAUAUUUUAGGGCUGAUUUUGCUCAAUUAAUAAUAUGGAGAUUAAAGUAAUAAAGUAGUGUUGAAGUGGUGCAUUCAUUCGGUAGCAAACGGUGCACGUCGGUUCAAACCGAUUUUCCUUAAAUCGCGCGUACUAGUUUAACUUAUGAUUCACUAACUUAUUACUAUCACUUCUAAUCACAUGCUUUCUCUUAUCUAAAACUCACUCUUAAUCACCAAAUUGAAUAAACACUCCACACCGAUUAAUCAUACUACCAAAAGACGAAAAAACCCUAGUUUACCUUAAAGAUGAAAGAAAAGGGAAAACCCUUGGUUCUAUGAUUAAUUGUAACUAUUGAGAAAGUGAAUGAGUAGUAAAACUAUUAUAAAAUAAUGGAUUCCAAAUAAAAGGGAAAUUUUAAUAAAAUAUGAGGGAUUUUACAAGUUCUCACAAUCACGCUACCAAAAUGCACACAAAAACACACACCAAAACCCUAAUAUGCGCAAAAAUCCUAACUUAUGCUUUUCCUUUAGAAAAAUCAUAACUUGAGUUUUAAAUAUAAAAAAUUUAUACAGCUUGGCUUGUUAAAUGCUAGACUUCAAAUACUAAGAAUCUUUAGAAGAUAUCUCAAAGAGAUUUAGUUCAUAAGUUGGUCCAAAUUGAGCCAUAAGCUACUACAACAUUUAUAUGUUUACUUGUGCAGGGCAGAAUUUUCAGUCAAUUUUGCCUAAGGAAAGUGUCUUAUCAAAAUCUUUAUCUUGUAUGUUAUAAGAGAUUUUUGGAUAUAUAUUAAAAAUUAGUUUUUGAUAUUUAAGGUUUCCUCUAAGGAUUCCAAGAGUUGCUUCUUCUCUAUUUUUUAUUCUAUUAUCAACUAUAGCAAGGUCUAUAGGUGUAUUCAAUCCUUCUCUAAACGUAGAUUUAAUAAUCAUUUGGAUAGAACCUAUAUGAAUCCAUCCUAUUGAUUCUCUUAUUUUUUCUGGUAUUUUUUCUAAUUUGCUAUAAAUAUCUUUUUUAGAUAUUAAUGGGAUCAUUAUUUUGUUGGUAGUAAGGCUGAAUUCUAAAGCUUUCUCCUUGGGAUUUAUUCCAUAGUACAUAUGGUGUUUUCUUAGAUAAAAUUUCAUUUUUUCUAAUGCAGGGACAUUAAAUCCACUAUAAGAAUUUAUUGAAAAAUUACUUUUUUGAAUUUUUGUUAAUAUUUUUCUAUCUAUGAAUGCUUCUUGACUAUAUUCUCCUAAUUUUUCUGAAUGAAUAUCUAUUAUUUCAGAUGUAUUGUUUUUCUCUUCUUCUAUUUCACUCAUCUUCACUGCUUAUUUCGUAUCCUGUAUCUGUAUAGAUAAAUAUACUUUCAUCGGAAGAAAUUUCCUCUAUUUCUGCAAAUCUAUUUAUUUCUAUUAAUUCAUUAUUAUCAAUCAAAUCUGCAAUAUUCUCAUCCACUUCAAAUCUCUUUUUAUUAAAUUUCUUAGGACAUUGAUUUGCUAAGUGUCCUUUUUCUUUACAAAAAUAACAUUGGCAAUCUGUUAUAUUUCUUUUUCUUUUAUUUCUCCUAUACAUCUUUUUCAUUUUCGGAAAUUUUUCUCUGCUUUUGUAGUAUUUUGCCUUUCUUUUCUUCAUAUAUUUUCUUUUAAAAUAUUUUCGCUUUUUAUAUUUAUUUUUCCUUUUAUGAUAAUAAUAAGGAGUAUCACAUCCUAUCUGGGUAGGCGUGUUAAGAUUAUUACAACAUAAUUUUAAUUAAUAUUUCAAAUUACGGGUCUUUCUAAAGAGUGUAGAUUUUUCACACCAUUUACUUAGUUUAUCUAAUGUAUGGAAUAUUCUUUUUCCUAAUGUAUCUUUUGUUCCAGGACUAUAUUCUUCUCUUAAUUUUUUACCCAUGGAUCAGGAAUUUUUGAGAAAAACAUUUCUAAAUAUGUUUCUCUUUUCCUUGAAUCUGUUCUAUAAUAAUAAUCUUGAAAAACACAGAUAUAUUUAUCUAUUUCACAUAUAUCACAGAGUGUUAAUCUAAAUAGUGCAUCGGUAUAUUUUUGAACUGAAUUAGCAUCUUUAAAAUAACUUCCUUCACCAACAAAUUCAAGGCGAAUUAAUUCAAGUGCUCUAGUUACCAUAUCAUUUAUGUCUUCUUCUUCUCCAAAUAUUAUUGACUUAGUUUCUUCUGGUAAUGUCUUUCAAUAUCGAGAGACACUAUUUACCAGUGAUCUUUCUAAAAAUCCUUUUGCCUCUUCAUAUGUUAAUUUGUUUAUAGAAACAGCUAAUCUUAAUCAAAUUUCCCAUUUAUCUAUUGCUUCUUCAGUAUUUUUUACACAGUCUAAAUCUAAAAAUGUACCAAAAGGAAAUAUUGCUUCAGGUGUGGUCCUAUCUAAAAGGGUAUAGCCUUCAUUAUCUAAAUAGCCUUUUUGCUUUGCUAUAUUCAUUAGUGAUGAAGCGAAAGAAUUUCCUGAACCAGGCUUUCGUCUAGCAUAUAAAGAUGCGGGUCUACUGGUUAAAGGUAGAUCGCUUAUGUUUGGAUUCAUUUCUGGUUUUAUAUCGGGUUUUAUAUUUAUCAUUAAAUUAUAGAGUUUAUUACUUAUAUUUUCUAUCUCGGAAUCUGAAAGGCAAGUAAAAUUUUCUUCAGAGUCACUCAUUUUAUUUUAACAAUAUGUUCUGUUAAAUAUUCAAUGGUGGUUUUAUUUCUUGUUUCGGUAGUUUUUUCUUUUGAAUUUAUAUUUUUAGUUUUUCCUAUUUUUCCUUUUUUUUCUUUAAUUAUUUGAAUUUCUUUCUUUAGAUCUCUACACAUAUAUAUUAUUGUUUUUUGUAUUUCAAAUAGGUCUUUUUCUAUUUUUAAAUUCGUAGGUUCUAUUAGUUUGUAGUUAUCAGAAUUCGUGUAUGGGUUCUUACUAAAUGUAAAUGUCGAUUUAAAACAACUUUCUCUAAAUUUCUUUUUUCAAUAUCUAAUAAUAUGUUUAAUGCUUCUAAUAUUAUUUCUUCAAAGGAAUAUUUUACAAUAAGUUUUCUUAUCUUAUUUAUUUUAGCUUUAGCUGCUAGUGAUCAUUGGGCUCUGAUACCAUUUCGAUGCCCAAAUUUACGGAAACAUAAUUUAAGCUUGGGUUGGCUAACACAAUAUUUAUAUUUACUGUUCUUGAUUCAAAAGAUAUUUUUAUUUCUAAAUUGUAUUCAGCAUGCAUAAUAUUUAUUGAUAAACUACUAAAAAGAUUAGACAUAUUUUCCAUAAAAUUUUUUGAUAAGAGAAUAGAGUGCAAGCUAUAUCAAGACUUAACAAUUUCUUAUUAACAAAAGAAAUAGGUCCAACACGCUUCCAUACCUUAGAUCUGAUUUUUGACCCAAAAACUCCGGCUACCUCCCCGAGGACUUCUUACUUGGGCGUUGCAGCCUCCAACCACUGGGGUGACUUCCUUUAAGGGCCGUUUUAGAGUUUUACAACACAACUUAGUUUCGUUUCCUACCUCUAAGCGUACUCAGAUGUAAAUAUGGAAAGUUGUGAAGAAACUUACUUCUUUUAUUAAUAAAGAAAGUUAGGUACAAGAUGAUAGUCUAGCACACUACUCUCUCUCUCUCUCUCUUUAUUUCCUAUACAUGAGAGAAAAUUUUAAGACCAUCGGUAGUAGAACUCUAGUGCUUUUUCAAUUCUUUCUUACUAACACUAGUUUCAACUCCAAGUUCCACUGCCUCCUUCAUAUGGCGUCUGCAUAUUUAUAAAUGUUUGGCGGACUUCAAUAUCUGAUGUGAAUUGAUUUUUCCACGGACUCCUCCUUUCUUCAAUUCCGCGGACUUGAAUAAUAUACUUUGGAUUCCGGGAGUGUGACGUAAGUGCUUAUGUCUUAUUCCAUGCUCUGACUGCUUGAUGCUGUAUCCUUAUCUUCAUUUUUAGUACAUGCUGGACACGUGUUAUUUUUAUGCUUUCUCAUCCUGCACAAAGUCUUGAUAGCUUUAUUGCUGGAUUUUAUUCUGCUGCUUUCUAAUAAGUGUAUUUUCCAAUUUAAAUAAUUUAUAACUGUUUCUGGAGUCUAUCCAGCAUAUGUAGUCAUUAUAGAAGAAAAUGCUCCAUUUCCUCCGUAUAUACGAAAAAUGUGUGUGGAAGUUUUGGAAGUGUAUUGCUAUUGAGAUUAUUAUAUGCUGUUGAGAUUCAUGAGUGAGUCCUCAUGAGAAUCAGGCAGGCAACUCGCCAAACUCUAGGGUACGUUCUAGGGGAAGAUGGGAUCAUCACAACUUGAACCCUGUCCUGCCCCACUACCCCUAUGAGCACACUUGCCGCGCCCUGCCCCGUUAUCUUUUUUAUUUUUAUUUUUGUUUUUUAUUUAUAUUUUAUUUAUAUGUACAAUAUUAAUAAUGAAUUUACUAAUCAUUUUUUUCAAUUUUUGGCCAAAAAUUUAGCAUUAAAUAAAGUUUUAAAAUCAUUUGUGAAUUCAUUUGUCAUCUGGUGAAUUCAUUUGUCGAUAUUUAAUUUUACAUAAAAUAUAAAUCAACUAUCAUUGUUAUAUAUAGUUUUAUAUAUAUAUAUAUAUAUAUGUAUAUAUGUAUGUAAAAACAUGUCAUACAUCAAAAAAUAGUAAAUUGACAUAACAAAAUUAUCAUUCAACCACAACAACUUAAUACAAAAGAGUGUAUUAUUUUAUCACAAAAAACUAUCAUAUUAUUCAUUUUGCAUUAUACUAUAUAUAUAUAUAUAUAUAUAUAUAUAUAUAUAUAUAUAUAUAUAAGAUUGAAAAGAUACAUUAUGAAACAGGAAAGAAAGAACCUUACAACCAGUAGUAAUUGCAACCACAAAGCAACCACAAAAUAAAACUAAGUAUGAAUAUACUCUUUGGCCCAGAAAAAAGAAAAGAAAUUAGAACACAAAUGCAUUAGUAUACUUACAAAAAUAAAAAGAAAUAAAAGGACACAGUGCACUUUAGCCAUGGUGACGAAAAUUAACAGUACUAAGAUGAGUAGUAUAAAGAGGUUAUGACCAAAACUAAAAUAGAGGUUACUAAUUGGAAAAUGUCAAAAAUUCAGGGUUAGCCUGCUUAAGAUGGUAUGUGCGGCAAAGCUUCACUGUGAUUACUUGAAGGUCCUGUUGAAUUUGAUCAAAAGAGGAAAAGACACCCCACUCCCGGCCUCCAGCACAGGAAAAAAUUUCAACAGCUCUAGGAAUACCUUUUUUUAAAAAAUUGAAAGAAUUAAAUUGUAGAAGAUGAAUUAAGAACGAAAGCAAUUUCUUUCUGGCGAACCUCUACUUACAAAUCAUUACUCCGAAAGAGACAAAGCUAUUAAUCAUUCAGUAGUUUUAAGCUUUAGAAGAACAAACGUGGAGGACCAGUUUAUCAACCCGUAGUAAAAAAGGCAUGCCACAUAUUUAUAUUCAACAAAAUAUAGGUACUUAUACCAAAAGAAAUAAGAACAAGUUUGCUAGAUGGAACCCGUUAACAAGUUCUGCCUUUAUGCAUCCUGCAUCCCCAGUCAACAAAAGCAUCCCCAAGCAGAUAUCGCUUCUGCUUCAUCAAAAAAGAGCAGACAAUGCCAAAUAUAAUUUUAGAGAUAGCGAGACAGAAGUAUUCGCCUGAAUGCAGUUAAUCACCGUUUGAAACUUAGAAGUGAAUACCAAAGAUUCUGUGUCUUCAUACUAUUGUUCAAGGUGGAAGGACGGAAAAGAUAAUAUCAAUAGAGGGAGAAGAGACUGGAGGGCGGAGAGAGGCCGCGAGUAGGAAUUGAAACGGGGCAGAGGCAGAGAAAUGAGAAUGGAUUGGCAACACGAGAGAGUGUAGUCAAGCAAAUACCUUUGAAAACUAAAUCAUAUCAGCAUUAUGCCAUUACUCAAGUUUGCACCAUAACACACAUUUUAUACAACAUCAGAGUUUUUUUGGGUUGUUGUGUUUGGGGGCGUUGGGGGGGGGGGGGGGGGGAAGGUGGGGUUGGCUGAUGAUUUGGAACCUAUGCACAGACAGGCUUCACAAAAAAGGCUGCCAUGCUCUGGCAAACUAUGACCAGAUGCACCUUCUUGUAGUCUUUCUUCCCAAUCAGUGCAAUUAACUAUGUACAAGUGCUGAUUUUCCAUUUGAUAAUUGUUAUCUCAACUAUACUAGCAAACUUGGACAACACUCUGAUACUUAUUCACUAUGCAUGCCUGUGCCAUCUCCAGGACAGACAUGCAAGUAAAGCAAAAGGCUUCCAAGUCCCAAUUGUCUCAUCCUGUCCUCCCAAUAACAAGCAGUGGCCAAAGCUUUGAUUUCCCUUUGAACUCAAACCAUACAAAGAGACAGGAAAAGUGGAGGUUUUGAUUGAGAACCACAAUAGUCCCAAUCACAAGCAUGUUGCAACUUGCAAGACCAGAUAUAUAAUAAGCUUAAUUAAUCAUACAGAACUGCCAAACACACGACCGGCAUUGACUAACAAGUAUAACUUUUGCCCUUCACCAAUCGGUGGGCACGAAGCUCAGACAUGUCUCUUGUGAGGUAACUUUUUGAAUUCCACGAAGAUUUUGGGUAAAAAUCACUGAAAAUUCAACUGAAGUUUUCAUCUUUCAUGGAACAAAGAUAGUCAUGAAAGAUGUCAUCGAUUUUAGUAAGACAGACAGGCAAGUUUACAUGAACUAAAAUUCUCCACAGAAGUGUAAUUCAUUAUUCAGCAAUUUGCAAGGUCUCGUAAUAUUAAGUGAUUUGACUAAAUCCAAAUUUCAAAAGCAAGAAACAGAAAACUGAUUUGCUAAAAUGUAAUUUGAAAGAGUAGGAUGACAAUCUCCACCUCAACAAUAAUUGGCACCACAGAGAAAAAAGAAAAUUUUUCAUUGAUGGCAUCUUUUACAUAGAAAACUUUCUUGAAUCUCACCAGCAAAUAGAAAUAACACAUAGCAGCAAAAUACAUGAAUUUUCGGGGCCCCUGUUCUGUAAAUAUAACUUUUCUAGGGUUCACCAACAACGCCAUCAUCUUUUAGAUUGGAAAUGCCCGGUGUAGUAUGCAUACUAAUAAAGUACAAAUCAUUCAAUCUGUAUUUGCUG